UUGCUGGGUUUUGCGUUAUGGGGAAGCUUGGUCUGGCUACCUGUUUGCUCAUCCUUCUCAACUUGGCUACACUCCUCACUUCUCUUGCUCGUCCCUACCCCCCAUACCCAACUCCUCCUAAACCAGCCAAUAAAACGCACCCCCUUCUGACCCUUCCAGAUAAACAUCCUCCAUACGUCAAGCCAGCGCAUACACCUAAGCCACCCAAGCCUCCGGUGGUCAAGCCACCCAAGCCUCCGGUGGUCAAACCACCCUACGUGCCUAAGCCUCCGGUUGUCAAGUCACCAGUGAUUCCAAAGCCACCCCCAGUCGAGACACCAUGCCCUCCUCCCCCACCGCCACCACCACUGUACCCACCUCCGGCCCAGGUGACGCCCCCGCCACAAAAGACAUGCCCCAUUGACACUCUGAAGCUGGGUGCAUGUGUGGAUUUGUUGGGAGGGCUUGUGCAUGUUGGGAUAGGAAGUAGUGCUAAGGACACAUGCUGUCCGGUGCUGCAAGGGCUUGUGGACUCGGACUCUGCCCUGUGUCUUUGCACCACCAUCAAGGCCAAGCUUCUUAAUGUCAAUAUCAUCAUACCCAUUGCUCUUCAAGUCCUUGUUGACUGUGGCAAGACUCCACCUCCAGGAUUCCAAUGCCCUGCCUAAGGUAAUCCAUCCUUCAAUUUUGUCAUUAAUUUCACAUGAUUCGCCCAUGUCUUCCCAUAUACAAAGAAGUUGACUAGUGCUUUUCCUCGUUAAUGAUUGCAGUGGAUGACAUUAGUUUGGAAAUUGGAAGAGAAUAACACAUGAGGAGCGAGGUUGAAGAAAGCCAGUAUAGUAGAAAAUGUGUGUUUGUGUUUUGGUAAUCUCUCUGUUGUACGUAUAUCAAAUGGAUAUAGUAUUGUGAGGAGCUUUUGUUGUAUCAUGUAUGCAUAAAUGCAUCAUCUCGUGCAUGUUUUUCCGUUGUGGUGUUAUCAGUUAAACAUAUUUUAUACGUUUGAAGUGGAUAGUUCUUUGUUUUCCACUUUAAUCAAUCUCAACAAGUCAUCUGAAUUUUCAAUUGGGCCACAGCUUCAAUCAUCAGCUCAGCCUAAUCCCAUUUACCCAACUUAUACUCUACUAGUUUUCUAAAAUAAAAAAUAUAUAGUGCUAAAUUAUUAGCACAUAAACUCAUGAUCAUGCGUAUCAUUCUCAUGAAAUCUACAUCAUCCAUGAUUUUAUAUCCUAAAUCUAAACGAGGAAUGAAUCAAUUAAAGAUAAAUUUAGGUGUUCUUUAAAUUAUAUCCUAAUAAAACUAUUUAGAAAAAUCAUAUUUUAGAAUUGUUUUUAAAAAUAUUUUUCAAAUACAGCAUAAAUUUUCAAAAAAUUACUUUUAUCCAAAUUUUAGGUAAUUAAAAAAAUGUUUUUAUUCUGUAGAGAUAAAUAUUCAUUUAAGGUCAAAAGCUAAUGAAGUGAUGAUAAAUGUAACGGAGAACUUUCCUUGUAAUAUUCUGAUAAAGACUACUUAUUCUGCAUUUGAUAAGGGAGUGACUGAUGUAACCGUAUCCACUAAAGCUCCGUCAUCUUUUGUACACUUCCCCAUCUACCAAGCAAAGCAUACGUUUGUCUGAUUUAGUGCUCCUCUGAGUACCUUUAGUUGAAACGAUUCCUUUGAAAAAGUAGGAUUUUUUUAGAAAGCAUUAUAAGUGAAGUUUCAACUUAUCAAAGUGCUUUAUAAAUUUUAAAAUGUUUUUAAAAAGUACUGUCAAAUGGACUCUCAAAUGCAUUUUGCAGGAGAGAUCACUAUCAAAGUUGAAGGGGCCCAAAUAGUUGCAGGAGCCUUAUGAUUUCAACAGACCUCAAGGGACUGGUGGUGCUUGUCAUUGAGAUUAUUAAAAGUAAAAGUUAUUGGACUUUUAUUUCAAUACAUAAUCAAAAGCUCAGAGGACCAUUAGGCAUAUUCAACAGCCAUUUAGGCUUUGUUUUCUUUUUUAUUUGACAUUUUGGCUUAUUUUAUUGAAUGAUUUGGCAGUGCUUAUAUGCAUAAAAAAAAAAAUAUCUCCACUGAAUUAAAAAGAAACAAAGGUGCAGGUUUAGCAUAUGACUCUAUAUUAUCAUAUAUUUGGUUUGCUGCCAUGCCUUGCUGCUUAUAAUGUAACCAACUGUUCUUUUUUUUUUUUUUUCUCUGUCUCUGAAGUCUGAAUCUGUGUCCCACCACUUUGAUUAAUACAAAUGGGUUGAAUCUUUAAUUUUGUGCUUGGAAGAAUUUCUAAAAGAUUGUAGGAUGGUUGGAUAGGUUUUAGCAGACAGUGCAUUUGUCUUCCCACUUUCUCAGGAAAGAUACUUUUGAUUAUUCAAUUUUAAAGAUUGACUAAGUAUAUGGGGUGCAAAGCAACACUUGGGGUUGCUUUUCCUGUGUUAUUUUCCUUUUUAGCUCAAGAAGUUUGUUCUUGGUCAACAAUUUUAUGAUUGUGGUUAUGUGAAACAAGUUAGGGUACAUUUGAUUCCAAAAACAAUUUGAAGGAAAAAAAAAAAUAUAAGAAAAAAGAUAUAAAAAAAAAUUAUAAAAGUUUUCUUUUGUCUGAUAAUCUAUGAAAAGAGUUGAAAGAAAGAAAUAUAAAUUAUUGAAAUAUACAUUUUUUUCAAGCUUUCAUUAUAUUUAUUUAAAACCAAAUAAGGGAAAAAUCUUUUACUAUUUUCCUUUAUCUUUUUUAAGCGUUUUCAUCGUAAGAAAAUAAUUUUUCUUUACAUUCUUUUUCCUUAUUAAUUUUCAAGAAUCAUGUAUAUCAUGGUAAUUUUAUUUUAUUUUUCUUCUUUUGUUCCAUUCCUUAUCCUCAGGUUGUUUGAACGGUUUUUUAGUAAUCAAAUUUUCAUCAUCAUGUCAAUUUUUAUUCUUAUUUCUAUUCCUGUAUAUUUAAACACAUUUUCAUCAUCGUAUUCUCUAUUUUUAUUACAUAUUAAGAAUUACUUACCAAAAAAUUAUUCAGAAAUCAAUUUAAAUAACUUCUAAAAUAAUUUUUAGAAACUUGUUGGACACUUCAUAAAAAUCAUUUCCAACUCCUUCACAAUCACUCCCAAACCGCCUCUUAAUAUGAUUUAAGAAGCACUUUAAGAAGGGGAAAGUUGUUGGUUUAAGGAUCAAUUACAUCAUGACUAGCGGUUGUAAGUUGUGAGGAUGGCAUAUUGACAAUCAUACAUAGAAGGAAAAGAGAAGAAAGAAGGGUUUAUUUUUCUUACUUGAGUGCCCAGUGUCUGUGAUGUGAAUGAGGAUUGACUUCAUUAUGGUGCGUUCCAUUAAACCUUAGAAAAUUCAAAAUUGGGUCUGAAAAUAGAAGUGCUUUUCGGCUAACUAAGCCCACUUGCAGCAGCACAUAUGGACGUACACCUUGGAAUUUCCGACUUCCUUCCUAGUGUAGUGCCAUUAUCUAAUUUGUAUACUUUCUCCCAAAAAUAAAACAUCACAUGCAGUAUACCAUUUUAUCAUCUUAUGUGACAAGAAUUGAUAAUAAUCAAAAGGUUAAUAAAAAUACGAAAAUGUUAUCAAAGCUUAUAGAUAAUUAAAAAAUACUUAAGAAUAAUUUUAAAAUGUUUUAAAAGUGAAAAAAUUUUGAAAAAAAAAAACGAUGGGUAUUGCAAACGAAUGUUUCGGUUGCUAAAAAAAUAUAGUUUCAAGGGACCUUAAGAAUGUUCAAAAGUAUAAUCCUCGAAUAUAUUAAUUUUAAGAUAUUUUAGUUAUUUUAUUAAUGAUCAUUUUGUCUUAAUUUUUUUUAAUUUGGGUGAAUGUAUUAAGAUAUUUAGCAUAUGUAAAUACAAACAAUUUUUUUUUUCAAAAUGAUUUUAAAAAUUUUAAUAAAUGCCUAAUCAUUUUAAGGAAAUAAUAAUAAAAUCUUUCAACCAUUCUCCACACUUUUUAAUUACAUUUUUAAUAUCUUUAAUUACGUUUAUACUUUUCACAUUCUAAGCAAAGCACAACAAGGGUAAGCGGUAUAAUAUUGGAUUCCAAAAAGAAGCACAAAUCUUAAAAAAAAAAAUGUUGAUUAAACUAUUAAGCAUAACAUAAAACCAUGGGUAUAAUUAGGAAGAGUUAAGGGAAAGUUGUGUUUUGGUGGGCCAAUUUGUUAAAUAUAUGAUUUUUGGAACCCAGGUUUAUGAAAUAUGAAAAACAUCUUUUAAUGUGGAAACUUAUAUGAGUUUCAUGCACUCUGAGCCGCUUGUCUUUUUUCUACCAAGAUUGCCCCUCCCGAUAUCUAGGUCAGCAACAUCCGCAAGGCACGUCAGCACGGGCUGGAACUCCAAAAUCAAAUAUUCUUCUUCCCCAAAAAACACCCUAGCCGACAGUUCUUUCUUCCCCCUCUCUCAUUUGAUACCCAUUCCUCUCAUCUGUCUUCACUCCGUCACCGAGGCAAUUUGAGCUUCCCACAAAAACAAUGUAGUCGACGGUUCAACACCCUAGCCGACUGUUCCCUUUCUCUCAUUUGAUACCCAUUCCUCUCAUCUGUCUUCACUCUGUCACCGAGGUGAUUUGAGCUUCCCACAAAAACAGUGUUGUCAACGGUUCAACACCCUAGCCAACGAUUCUUUCUUCCCUCUCUCUCAUUUGAUACCCAUUCCUCUCAUUUGUCUUCACUUUGUUACCGAGGCAAUUUGAGCUUCCCACAAAAAUAGUGUAGCCGACGGUUCUUUCUUCCCUCUCUCUCAUUUGAUACUCAUUCCUCUCAUCUUUCUUCACUCUGUCACCGAGGCAAAGCAGAGAACCGUGUAGAGUUUUAAAAAAGUUUUGUCAUUUCAAUUGAAAAGGCCUUAAUCCCAUUUGUCUCAUCUAAGAUUUUCUCUCUCAAGGUAACCCAUUGCUUCCUUGUUUUGCAUUCACAAUCAUAUUAAAAAAAUCUGUUGUUUGUGUGGGUUUUUUCUGAACUAGGUGUGACUCAAAUGUUGGCAUUUAGGAGUUGGUACUGAAUUUUUAAAUUUGUUUGUAAUGAAUCAUCAUCGUAUUUUUCAAUUCCAUGCGUUUUUUUUUUUAGUUUCUACUAUUUUUUUUUGGAUUGGCAAAUUCUCAAAACUCUGUUGUUUUGAUAUAAAAUGAAGGCAAGAAUAUGGGUUGGGAAUUGUUUUGCUGAAAAACCCAUUUGUUUUGGUUGUGGUUUAGAACUAGGAAAAACAUAUUUGAAUUGAUUUGCCAAAAAGGAAUUUUUUUUUUGCCUUUUCGUUUUUGGGUAUUGGGAAACAAUGCAUUUUUAGUGAAACUCAUUUAUUGGAUUGUAUUUUUGGAUUGGGCUAUGUAGUAGAUUACCAAAAGGGAACACUUUUUGGGGAUGAUGUAUUUCUUUUGAGAGCGAAAUAAGUGCUUCUGAAAUGGUGAUUUUUAGAUUCCAAAUUACUCAGGUUUUUGGGUUUUUGUGAAUUGAUGGUUAAUGGGUGCUAAAGUUUUCGUUGUUUUUUUUUUGUUUUAUAUGUAUAAUUUAAAUUCACGUCCCAUUUCUUCAAAUAUUUUUGGUUAGUAUAUGUUACUCUUUUUGUUGAUUAGUAAUUGAUAUUGAUUUAGAGAUUCCUUUUAGAAGAUGGAAAUAGAAAAGGCUAUAUAGGAACUAUUGGUAUCAUGCACUGGUUUAAUUUCCUUCAUAACUCUUUUGGAAUUAGGGAAUGCAAGUAGAAUGGAUGAAAUGCAUUUUGAUCUAUAUAUUGUUUUUUUUGUUUGUCUGUGACUGCUCCCAUUUAGCACAAAAUGACGUAGAUUUGAUAAUUUUAUCAGUUUGAUUUUCAUAUAUUUAUAUAAAAUUACUUUAACUAUUAGGCAGUUGCUAUAAAUGCUUAGAAAAAAGGAUAUGGGUUUUCAGUAGUUAAAAUUAUCUAGUCAAAUUUAUAUUUUAUAUAUACAAGUAAUAAUUGUAACCCUUAAAUGAAGUAACUAAAUUUUAAAUGACAUAAAUUAAGAAAUGAAAAUUUUAUGACACUCUAAUCUUCAGAUAAAUGGUUCUUUAUGAAUAAACAGUGUGGGGAGGAGCCAGAUCUCCAUGGCUGACCAUAAAGCUGUUCCGAUUCCAUUGGUUUUUGUAUUUACCGUAACAAUACAAACUUCCAAUGCUGAUGAAGAGCUCGUAAAAAAAUAAAUUGAGCUAACAAAACCUUGCUUGUCAUUAUGACUGACCAAAUUUGUAGUCGUGGUGUGCUAGUUAGAAAAUGUUCACUUCUCAUAUUAGCCUUAGUAACUUCAUUCCUUAACAUUAGGUAAUUCCUUUAUCAAUACGUAGGUCGUUUCGCAAGGAUAUAACCAAUCAAUCGCAUUGCAUGGGCUACGUGCAUAAAACAUACUCAAUUGCGCAUCGUGUUCUAUUUUGGUGAUCAGUUGGUUAGCCUUAUUCUACUACUAAGUUAACCUUAUGUACUAGCUCAUUAUUCCUGAAAGUACUACCUUAAUCGACUGUAGGUACUGCCUUAGUCAACAUCAGGUACUACCUGAGCCCACCUUGGGUACUACCUGUGUGACGAUUGAAAACUGCAUUUUAUUCAAUUGUAGAUAAUUCAUAUGUGAAUAAAAGUUGACUUUAUUUUUAACCCAAUGGGGUCAAUUUGUCAAACAUAAGACCCAGAGGCUGUUUUCAAGCCAUGCAUAAAUUAAAUUUUAUUCACUUCCACAUACAACUUAUCAUGACAUUAUGUGUUUGAUUACUCUGCUCAUUUGGUUCCCCUUAUCCUUACUACAGACUGUAUAGGUACUAUCUUAAUUAACCUUAGGUCUAACCUUAGUAAUCUUUAGGUGCUACCAUAGUUGGACUUGCACACUACUUGUGCGCAUCAUCCAAUUAUCAUGUUUGAACCUUAAUUGCAUAGUUCCUUGUUGGAAUCUUCGAAAGUGCGUAUGUGACGCUUAUAUAUUUCCUACAUCAAAGUAUAUGUAAUCAAGAUACAUAAUUCCUCAAUCUUUCGUUGUUGUAUUGUUUGUAACAAAUCUUUAUGUCAUUAAGGAAAUGGAAGAUGAGAUGUUUUGUUACAUUCAUGAAGGUGGUGAGCUUGUUAAGAUUGUUGUUGGGUCCAUUGAAUAUAAGAGUGGUCGGACCAAUUGCAUUGUUGUUAGCAAGAAUAUCUCACAUUUUGAAUUCAUUUCAAAAGUAUGUGGUGAACUUAACUUGGAGCCCAAUUCAAUAAAAUUGGAUUUCACAGUGAAGUUUGACCCAUCAUGUCUACUCCCCUUGCAUAAUGAUGCCGACAUAGUCAAGAUGUUCAAAUUCAACGACAUGUUUUCUCAUGCCUAUGUCUUCCAAUGUAUUGAAGGUGGUGAUGGCUUCAUUUGCCAUACUAGGUACCUAAUGUCUUUCCACAAUAAUGUUCCCUUUUGUAUAAUCGCUUUUCACACCUAGGUGGAUGGAUGAGCAAUUUAUUUCCCUGUGUUUUUUCCAAUGUCCCAACACCUAUUGUUGCUUCAAACUCGGUUCAUGUUUCAUUUAUUGGCAAGCCCCAAUUGCACAUGUCUAAUGAGUCGCCCACAAUUGAGUCAUUUGGGUUUUCCCAAAGAUGUGCUGAAACAAAUAUCGUUCAACUUCAACCAAGCCGGUUCGAAGAUUCAAUUGUAGGUAGUGGACAUACCUUCCCAAAUGCCUCGGGGUUUCAAGAUGCAAUUUAUUUGAUGUCUUUGGCUGGAAAAUUCCGAUAUUCUUACAAAAGGAAUAGUCCAAAACACAUGACCGUAGUAUGCACAAUUGAAGAUUGUCCUUGGAAAAUCACUGCCCGUGCAAUAGGGGAUUCGAAGAUUGUUCAAGUACACACAUUUCGAAAUUUGCAUAACCAUUGCUUGGAAGAUGUUGCCUUGUGUCAACCUUUAGUGAGAUCCACUCGUGUGUCCUUGGUCAUUGAUGAUGUCAUUCGAUCUACUCCUAAAUACCAACCACAACAAAUUUGUAAGGACUUUGUAAUGUAACAUGACAUCCAGUUGACUUACCUAUAAGAAUGGAAACUGAAGGAGAAGGCUAAGAAACACAUUUAUGGACAACCCAAGAAUUAUUACAAAUUGUUACCAUGUAUGUGUGAAAGAAUUCUUGCAACAAAUUUGGGAUUGAGUGUUGAGUUGAGUUAUUCUGAUGAUGGCCAUUUUGAGCAGCUUUUUGUUGCUCAUUCAAUAUCUAUUGAAGGGUUUAUAAGGGGGUGUAAACCAAUCAUUGCAAUUGAUUUGGCCCAUAUGAGUGGGCCUUAUGACGGUGCUUUAUUUUUAGCCACCGCCUACGAUGCUAAUGACUCUAUGUUCCCUUUAGCCUUGGAGUGAUGAGUUCAUAAAAUUAUGAAGAUUGGUUAUGGUUCUUGGAAAAACUGAAGAUAAUUGUGGGAAACAAGGAAGUUAUUAUUAUCUCAUAUAGACAUCCUGCCCUACUUCGUAGUGUUCCUGAAGUGUCUGGCCUUGAAAACCAUGCCUAUUGCUGCCGUCACCUGAAAGAGAAUUUUAGUAGUUUCUUGUCCAAGCAUAACAUACGAGGGAACAAGGGUAAAAAAAUGCAUUGCAAUUCUUAGAUAGCCUUGCGUAUGGAAGGUUAGAACAUGAUUAUAACGUUUCCAUGUUUGAACUAAAAAAUUACAACGAGGCUUUAGCCACAUGGGUUGAAGAAAAUGAGUCACACCAUUAGGCCAUGUCCAAAUUCCCAAAAAAAAAGAGAGGAUAAAAUGACUAUCAACCUUGCCGAGUCAUUUAAUGCUUGGUUACAGAAUGAAAGACAUCACUCCAUUUGUAACUUUUUAUUGGAGCACAUGUCCAAGUUAGCUUUUAUGCUUGUGAAGCAUAAAGAAGAGUCGAAGAAUUGGAAAUGGUGUAUAGGCCCAAAAAUUGAAGAUAAGGUGCUGCAAAAUAUUGCAAAGAGAGAGGUGUAUCCAGUCAUUCUGUUCAUGAAUGGAGUAUUUGGGGUAUGUAUCGGGAGAGCCUUGUUGAAUGUAGACAUUAUGAACCUUACAUGCACUUGUAAGGGUUGGCAAAUGUUGGGAAUCCCUUGUGAACAUGUCGCAGCCGUCAUUAUUUCCAUUGGUCAAAACGUUGCUAAUUUCGUUGAUGAUUGGUACAAAUACCCAAUGUAAGAGUUGAUAUAUGGGGGCUCUUUCUUCAGCAUAGAGACCCAUGACAUGCCUAGUGUGGAUGAUGAUGGUUUGGUUCGAUCUAUCACUGGUGAGGUUUUCUUCUCUCUAAAGCCUCCAUAUACAAAACGCAUUCCCGGAAGGCCAAGGAAGAAGCGCAUUGAGUCCCAAUUUCACGAUAAACAGACUGUGUAUUGCUCUCGUUGUCAUAUGUCCAGCCACAACAGAAAAACUUGUAGGAAUCCUUUGCCCUAAAUGCAUAUUUGUCAACUUAUUGCAUUAUGCAGAUCUUGUAUUACUCUAUUUCAACUAACUUAAGUGAACUGGUUGUCACCAAAUCAGCGUUAGUAUUUGAAUAUUUUGUACCUUUGCCUUCACUUGCUAUGUUCAUUGAGUUAAAUUAUAUUGCUCUGCUUAUUAAUUUCUUUUAGAAUGUCUGAACUAUGGUUGCACCACAUAUUGUUGUAUUGGUAUUUACUCCAAUCGCAUGUAUUUGCUCCCAUUACCUUGGUUAAACUAGUAAAACCAAACUGCAGUAUAUGUAUCCAUGUACAAAGACUACUGUUUCACUGUACUAUAUAGAAUGUCAACCCAACAACCUGAAAUGUAUACCAUUGAAUCCAUGUAUUUUGUUAUUAUUUGUUUUUCCACCAUUUCCCCUUUCUCUCGCCGCCACAACUUAUCUUGUCUAACUACAUACAUGGUGGUUAUUAUCCCACUUUUUAAUGUUCUAUAGGAAUUCCUGCAGCAUAGAGAUGCUGCUUAGGCCACCACUGAAUGUAAAGUUCUUUUUGUUGUUGAGAAAAACAAUUUUGAUUUACAUUGCAUUAUUAAAUUUAUGUUUUGGAAAAAUAUAAUUUUUGUUUUCUUAUGUAGAUAAGUAACUUUCAGUUGGUAAGAGUGUUCACUCUUAAAAUCUCAGCGUUGGUUCCCAAGAUUACUAGCACUGGUGUUUAGUAACUAGUCGAAAUUCUAAGAAGGGCACUAACGUUAUGAUAUUCCUUCUUCACUUGUUGAAUUAUUCUUAUGCUGAAUUAAAUUCACAAUUAAUAGGUCAUAUGAAUGCAUAAAGUGUUGAUGGAGGUUGUAAAAUAUGUUCAUUUCCACAACUUUGGCAGAUUGUGGCGAUUGUCUCUCGCAUGAUGAAUGGACAGCAAGCACCACCAGCGCGCACACACUAUUUUGAUCAUUCGUUCUCGGUGAACCCCUUAAUAUCCUAAAUUGACAUAGUCUCAAAAUAGAAUAGUAUUUGUUGAUGUUUGUAUUGAUUAACCCCACCCUUGAACAGGUUGUUUUGAGCAACCUGAAAUCUAAUGCAACCAGCCAGGUCAUCAUGGACAGAUGCCGCAUGUAUCUGGAUGCUGGUGUAUGGGGCCAUGAUUUGGGGACAUGUGACAUGGUAAAUAAGGGUUGUUAAAGUUCAUUUCCUUAGUAAUAUAUGCAAUGGCAUUGGACAUGACUAUUAUCUUAUAACAUAAAAGCUAAUAACUCUUUAAUGAUAAUGCAGAUGUUCAUACCGGUUUGUGAGACUAAGCAUGUGCAUGUUGUUAAUUUUGCAGUUGGAAGAGUUGAAAUUCUUUCCUCUUUGCCCCUCAGGCGGGGGAACAACAUUAGUUCUGCAACAAGACGAUUAUCAGUGGCAAUCCACAAAGCACUGCAUGCAUUUAGAGUUCAUAUAGACGUGGAUGUCUCAACUUUUAUGCAUGUCCAACCACACCUUGUCCAACAGCUUAAUGGGUAAAAUAUUCAUAUAUUCUAACCAAAAUGGACAUGUGUAGUGAAUUUUUUUCUCAGAUUUCUAUCAUUUACAUGACAAGCCUAAAUGUGAUGUGUUAUAGGUUCAACUGUGGUAUCCUCACACUAAAGUUCAUGGAAUUUUGGAAUGGGGCGACUUUAACUACUUCAGUGGCAGAGGUUAGAGCUGGUUUACACCAUAAUUAGAACUGUUAUUUUUAUUUAUUUAUUAUUUUUUUUACAACAUCAUGAAAUAAGUUUUUCCCAUUUCUGUAGGGCAAGCUGAACAUGUAUAGACUCCAGCUAGUUGUGGAACUAGUGCUCAAUGAAGGCAAUAGUUUUAGAGAUAAAAUUAUGGCCUCCUAUCAUUUGUGACUUCAUGGUUGAUGAUAAGUUUUUUCCUAUCUGAUGCUACUUAUCGUAUAAAGCAAUGAUUGAUUGUAGUUUGUCCACAAAUGACUGAAUUCAUAUCCUGUUAUGUGCUGAUGUGGUUUUGUUCCCAUUCUAAAACCAUUAUUUAUGUUCCAUAUAUGUUGUAUCUUAUUAAGUAUACUACAUCCCAUUGUAACAGUGGCAUUUUGGUGAUGCUGAAUGUCAGAACUUUAUGUACAACAGUGGGCAACGCGUAAGGGACAGAAAGAUUGCAUGGUGAUGCUGUUGCUAAGCCUACGGGAGGGAGUAAUAUCAGACUGAGUCAUAUGUGAUCCUCUUUCUUUAGAUUGUUUGAAGCAAACAUGGUUUACCAUAUGAUCAAAAUUAGGACACGGAUAAAUCAAUUAUUCAAUCCUCUUCAAAUGAGGAGAUUCAUCACUAUAAUAGGGUUGUUCAUUAAUGUGAAAUAUUGUAUAGGAAAUGGAGUAGGAACAUGGAGAAAAGUCAAUAUUUGUUAAUUUAUGAUGAUUAUUGGCACUAGUCCGUGGUGCAUUGGUGACUUUAUGGACAACAUCUGCGUUUGUAAGAUGUGAUCCAAAGUGAGGUUUAUUCUAGGGCAUCUUCUGUCAAUGUUAUACAUAGGCUGGAGGUUUGGUUGAGUUUGUUGACUAUAUUAGAAACAAUUUGCUGAUGUACAAAUUCCAUGGACUAUGUUUGUGUUUUGUUUUAUUCAGGAAAUCCUAAUGAAGGUCAGGCAUUUGUUACAUAUCCUGUCCAUUUUUUCCUUGUUCCAUGCCAGUGUCCUCUCCAACUGUAGUUCAAAAAUAAGGAUUCUUUAUAGAAGCAGAAUGCUACAAACCAUGGUGACAAAUUCAGGUCUUAUGGGUGAUGGUGAAGACAUGGGAUGGUAUUCGUAAGGAUUAAUUGAAGACUAUUGGCAGUGGUGAUUUUUUUAGAUUGUCAUGUGCUGAGAUGGACUUCAGCAUGUCGAUGAAAUUCCUCCUCCAUAUAUCACAAGUUUUUUUUUUCUUUUAGUUAAUAAAAAUCUGAUGAAAUCAUCUCAUGAAAAAUAAAGAGAAAUCUUAAGGUUUGGCAUCAGAGAAUGGGUGCAACAUGGGUUGUGUGGUGACAUAUUAAUGUGGCAACCUUGCCCGAAUAUGAUGAGAAUGCACAACCCACAAAAUGUCAACUAUCCAUUUUGCUCAUCAUUUUGUGAGGCUUUUAUAAAAUUGCCCUUGAAUAUCAAUAAUGUUAUUACAAAUAAUUAUAUUAAUAAUAAUUAAAAUACUAAUAUUAAUAAUAAUAAUAAUAUUAAUAAUAGUAAAAAUAAUAAUAAGCCAUGUGAUAUAUUUGAAUUGCUUGUUAUGAUUUGUAUUUCUUUUAAGAAGCAGUCAUGAGGUAACCUUCCAACAAAGACAAUCCGAAGUCCUAUUAGUUGUGAACUCGGGACAAUAAUAAUAGAGAAUGUUGUAAAUCACUGAACAUAACUACUAAAAUAGUGCCAAAUUUGAACCAUCCAUAAAUUUGUUGUCUUCAUGCUCACUAUUUCUUCUAAUGCCAAACACGGUAGACAUGAAUGUGCAACCAAAAUGAUUGGAUUCAGCCCUUGACAAAUCAUGGAUUAAGCCAAAAUGCCACUAUGUCCGUUCUCUCCCUAUUCAUCUCUGGCGCCGUUGAAAUCCUCAUCAUGUUCUUAAUAUUUGGCUCAACUCCUAGUCAUGAAGCAAAUUUCUCCCGAUCCUCCAGUCCCCAAGUUAACAUCAUUAGGGAAAUGAGAAUCUUGAUGUUGAUCUUGUAGGGCUGUCACUCGCUCUCCCAAAGGAAGAGCAUCCUCAGUUGCAAGGGUUAUACAGGGUUCGAAAAUGCUUCUACAUGUUGCUCAUGUUUUACUUCCAACAAUCUAUAGGUUGUGAUAGAAAAAUAAAUAUAUGUUAGAAAACCAAUAAAUUUUUGCUUCACAUGAUCACCUUCCAUAUCCAACCACAACCAACCAUAACCUUUCAAUAUCUAGAUAAACACCAAAAUGAGAAAACAACUAUUUACUUAAAUAAAUAGUCACAACAAAAUAUUGACAGAAGAGCAACAUUUCUCCAAGGUGCCUUAAGGUAGUACCUGAGGUACAUUAAGGUAGUACCUCAGGUUCAUUAAGGUAGUACCUUAGGUGCAAUAAGGCAGUACCUUAAAUUUAUGAUGAUUAUAUAAGCUACCGAAUGAGUAACCAAUAAGAACAUAACAAUGCCAUGCUGCAAUAUGUAAUGCAAUGAACUAAUUAUGACUUAAGUCACAAAAGAGCAACAUUUCUCCAAUGUGCCUUAAGGUAGUCCCUUAGGUACAUUAAGGUAGUACCUCAGGUUCAUUAAGGUAGUACCUGAGGUGCAUUAAGGCAGUACCUUAAAUUUUUGAUGAUUACAUAAGCUACCGAAUGAGUAACCCAUAAGAACAUAACAAUGCCAUGCUGCAAUAUGUAAUGCAAUGAACUAAUUAUGACUUAAGUCACAAAAGAGCAACAUUUCUCCAAUGUGCCUUAAAGUAGUCCCUUAGGUACAUUAAGGUAGUACCUCAUGUUCAUUAAGGUAGUAUCUGAGGUGCAUUAAGGUAGUACCUUAAAUUUAUGAUGAUUACAUAAGCUACCGAUGGAGUAGCCGAUAAGAACAGAACAAUGCCAUGCUGCACUCUAUAAUGCAAUGAACUAAUUAUGGCUUAAGUCACAAAAGAGCAACAUUUCUCGAAUGUGCAAUAAGGUAGUACCUGAGGUACCUUAAGGUAGUACCUUAGAUUCAUUAAUGUAGUACCUGAGGUGCAUUAAGGUAAUACCUUAAAUUUAUGAUGAUUACAUAAGCUAUUGAUGGAGUAACCGAUAAGAACAGAACGAUGUCAUGCUACACUCUAUAAUGCAAUGAACUAAUUAUGGCUUAAGUCACAGAAGAGCAACAUUUCUCCAAGGUUCCUUAAGGUAGUACUUGAGGUACAUUAAGGUAGUACCUCAAGUUCAUUAAGGUAGUACCUUAGGUGCAUUAAGGUAGUACCUUAAAUUUUUGAUGAUUACAUAAGCUACCGAAUGAGUAACCAAUAAGAACAUAUAAUGCCAUGCUGCAAUAUGUAAUGCAAUGAACUAAUUGUGGCUUAAGUCACAGAAGAGCAACAUUUCUCCAAGGUGCCUUAAGGUAGUACCUGAGGUAUUGUGGACCCUCACUCGAUCCACUCGGAUGGCGCGACUCGCUAUCUCUUUUUUUAAAAAGUAGUGUGGAAUGGAAUGGAAAAGUGGUUUUCGAGUUUUGAAAAAUCCUUUCCCGAUGAGGAACGGUUUUGUUUGGAGUCGCCACUUACUUCUUAUUUUUAUUUUUUAUAAGGGGAAAAAUUAAGUAAGAACAAAAACCCCUGAUGACUUGAGUAUGGAAAAAGCGGACUACGAAACUUGAGUCUGGGUUCGAGGAUCAGGUUACCUAUCGGGAAGGUACCUCAUGUGAGGUAACACCCCUCUAGGCCCGGAACUCGGUCUCUACUAUUGAAUUGGGCAUGUGAGAGUAUAUGGGUCAAGGAUCAAAUAGCCUCUUAGGCUAAUCAUAGACAACACGAAUCACACAAACCUACUCGAUAUCUAGCAUGCAUAGGCACUCAAUAAAUCAACAAAUGGCGUACCUGAGGACCCUAGCCAUGCGCUGUAGAAAAGAUCAGUCAAUAAGCAUCAAUGCACAACAAGCAUCGCAAUCCAAAUGCCAUGUGGGCAUACUAACAUAAAAGCUAACUAUCAAACACAUACCUGUGGUCCCUAGCCAAGCGUUGCAUAAAUGAUUAGCCAAUAGGAAUAAAUACUCAACAAGCAUUCAUGGCAAUCACAUGUCAAAACAUCAAUCACUAGAUACCAAGGCCCAAAAAUGAGCUCAAACCAUGGGUCAAAGUAAGUACGUUGGGUCCCUAGCCAAGCGCUGUAAUGAGGGGUUAGUCAACACGUGGCAAGCAUUUUUUAAACAAACAUCAAAAUGUGCCCAAGCCAAAUAUUCACAAUAAACCCCCCCUCCCCCCCUUCCUAGCCAAUAAUACCCUUAACUCAUAGGUGGACCCACAUUAAUUCAAACCAAAUCUGGAUUUAGACCCUAAAGGUGGCCUACAAGUGCCUUGGAGCCUAAGUGCCCAAACCAUAACAAAAAUGGGGGUCAAAACACGCUGAAACUGGAACUACCUAGUAGAAUCGGUUGAACUGGUUCCCAACUGGCUCAAUUGGUUGAGAAAAAAAAUCUGAAACUUUACCAGAAUAUUCCUCAGAGAAUAAGGAAUCCAACAAAAUAAACGACACUCAAUUCCAAGCCCGGAUGAGGGAGAACCGACCAAAACAAUGCAAAGCAUUUAUAAAACAGGGCUGCCACCAAGCCACCUGUUGAACCGAUUCCCAACUGGUUCAUCCGAUUGAGAAAAAAUUUGAAACUUUACCAAAAUAUUCCUUAGAGAAUAAGGAAUCCAACAAAACAAAUAGCACUCAAUUCUGAGCCCGGAUGAGAGAGAACCGGUUGAAACAAUGCGAUGUUUUCCAUAAAAGGCCAAACCCGAGCCACCCAAAAUGCAUUGUUUUCUUUAAAAUUCGCCACUUAAGCCAAUGCUUUAGUAGAUGCAAUUUUUCCAUAAGCUUUUAGCAUGCAUGCCUAAAAGGGCAAGGCCACAAAUGAAAGGGCCUACUUCCCAAACAAAUUAACCGUAUUUCUUACAAUCAAAGGAAAUGAACCAUGUCCCCUCCCUUGCCAAAUCUAGGACCAAUGAGGCCCCAGUGGCUGAAUGAUGAGCACAGUGGCUUAACCAAUAUGCCAUAACCUCUAAUCCUAAUUGAAAAACUGAAAUGGUCUACCCCAAAUUCCAAACAAAACAGUCUAAAGAGACUUUUUAUCAAAUCAAAACUAAAGGGAAUGGUUCCCUAAACUAAAGGUACAAGCCCCUUUUUGGUAUUUUGGAACCUAGCAUGAAAGCCCAAUGGCAACCCCAAAAAAAAAAAAAAUUUGAUUGCACUUCCAAACCUGAAACCAAUAACGCAGCAAGGACCUUCCUUGAAUGCCACAAGCAUAAUGCAAAUUUCCACCCUCACUAUGCAACCAAACAAUGGAGUUCUUACCCCAAACAUACAUGCAACCAAGAUCCUAAAGAAUACCAUUUAAUGAGCACAAAAGCCUUGCCUUCAUAAGCAAUCAGAUAUGACCAAAGCUUUAAACAGUUGCCUUAUAAGCCAUUAGGACUAUUAAUUCACUUUCCACAUUCAAGCUUAAAACAAACGAAUGCAUCAAAUAGUUAACCAAUGCCCUCUUUUUAUUUGCAAACUACUAAGGUCAAGGCCUUAGGGGCCAAUAAAAAAAACUAAACUUGGACAACCUUUGAAACCUAAUCAAAGAUCAGUUAGCCAAGAAAACCACACACAAGUAACAUUAGAAGAAAAUAAUAGCAGAAAAAAAGAAAUAAAAAAAAAAUAAAAGAAAAAACAGAGGAUCUCUAGUAGCAACCAAAUCACACAAGAGACCAGUUUAAUUCUAAAACCCAGAACCUUACCCACAAAUGGGCACCAAAACCCCAAAGGUCCUCUAGAUGCAAUGACAAGGGGAACCACAAAGGCCUUAUGAAGGAAGCAAAACAAACCUAAAUUGGGGGCUAAGGAACCCUCAUUCCAAACUUGAAUCCGAGCACCAGAGACCUUUGCUUACUCAAAGCAAAUCAAAGCUGGUUGCUAAUGAGAGAAAUACUUGCUUUGUUCACAAAACAAAUCACACCAUACAUGGGAGCUUAGGCAUGCAAUAACGAAAAUGCAAGGAUCCUAGCCUUAUCUUUCAUAUACCUUCAAUGACCAUUUCGAAUGCUAAAAAAAUAACAGACUCACUCUCGGUUGAAUCAGACAUGCAUAGUCUUAGACAACUUACAAACUUGACCAAAGACUAAUCAGCAAAGACCCUCAUUUUCUUGUCUAAACAGAUUAUUGCAACAAACCUCAGAAAGAAUGAAAAUAUAAAAUAGCAGAAAGCAGGAUCAAAGAGUUACCUAUGCAUGCGUUGAAGAUGCUGAGGUAGAAAUGAAGUCACUGGGGUAGCAAACGUCCAAGUUCCGCUUCCAGAAAUCAAGGCCUUCCCCUUCAACAACAUGAACAAGAAACUACUCCCUCUACAACCAGAAAAUCUCUCAAAACCUCCGUCUCCUUCACUCUUUCCUCUGUUUCUUUUUUCUAUUUUUUUUUCCUCUCUUCUUUCUUUUCCUUUAUCUCCCAACACACAAAAUUUUCUCAGGUCUAGAACUCUUCCCCCACACUCUUUUUUUUUUUUUUAAGCUCUCACCCUCUUCUCCUUUGGCUUUCACUUUUUUGACAAAGUUUCCUCCUAGAAUCCAGAGAGAGGUCCUCAUCUUCUUCCCUCUUUUGGAUUUUAUAUUAGACCCCUUUGUUCCUCCAGCUUCCAUUCAUUUUCCCAUGCAUUCAGCUCUGGAAAACAACCCUUCAACCUCGAAACCACACUCCCCAAUAACUCUCCUCACCAAUUCUCCAUGCAAGCUGACUCUUUUAAGUUUUUAGCUUGCUUCACCACCAAGGAUCCAUAUGGAUUCAUGGUGGGCUGCAAGAAACCCAAACCAAGGCCCAAAAUGGACCCACAAUAUAGCCCAAGACCGAUUUGGAGCUUAUGGGCCCAAGUCAUGUAGGAAUUGGGCUUCAAAAUCAUCAAAACUAGUGCUCCAUACAAGCUAGCUCGAUGAACCGGUUAAACUGGACGCCAACCGGUCGAACCGGUUGAGAAAAAUUAUGAAAUUUUGAAAAAAAAUUUCUGAAGAAUAAGGAGUCCAUGAAAAAAAAUGGUGCAUGAUUCUGAGGUUGGAUGAGGGAGAUAUGGCCAAAACAAGCCCGAGUGCUCCGAAUUCGAACUUGCUCCCAUGCAUUCUGCCAAAACUGAAACUUUGGGGACUGGUCGAGUCGGUUGAGAAAAAUUAUGAAAUUUUGAUAGAAUUUUUCCUAAAGAAUAAGGAGUCCAUGAAAAAAAACGGUACACAAUUCUGAGGUCGAAUGAGAGAGAUAUGGCCAAAACAAGCCUAAGUGCUCUGAAUUCAAACUUGCUCCCAUGAAUUCUGCCAAAACUGAAACUUUGGGGACCGGUCGAUCCGGUUGAGAAAAAUUAUGAAAUUUUGAUAUAAUUUUUCUUGAAGAAUAAGGAGUCCAUGAAAAAAAACGGUGCACAAUUUUGAGUUCGGAUGAGGGAGAUAUGGCUAAAACAGGCCUAAGUGCUCCGAAUUUAGACUUGCUCCCAUGCAUUCUGCCUAAACUGAAACUUUGGGGACCGGUCUAGCUCGAUGAACCGGUUAAACCGGACGCCAACCGGUCGAACCGGUUGAGAAAAAUUAUGAAAUUUUGAAAAAAAAUUUCUGAAGAAUAAGGAGUCCAUGAAAAAAAAUGGUGCAUGAUUCUGAGGUUGGAUGAGGGAGAUAUGGCCAAAACAAGCCCGAGUGCUCCGAAUUCGAACUUGCUCCCAUGCAUUCUGCCAAAACUGAAACUUUGGGGACUGGUAGAAUUUUUCCUAAAGAAUAAGGAGUCCAUGAAAAAAAACGGUACACAAUUCUGAUGUCGAAUGAGAGAGAUAUGGCCAAAACAAGCCUAAGUGCUCUGAAUUCAAACUUGCUCCCAUGAAUUCUGCCAAAUUAAGAUAAGUGUUCAUUAAAUCUAAAAUUCACAAAUAUUUUUCUUCAAAAGAUUGAUAUUUCUUUAAAAAAAAAAAAAAAAAAAUCUGUUAAUAAAAAAAAGGUAUUAUUUUCCAAAUUGAAAAUGAGAUUCUAGAUUUAAAUAAAUGAUAUUGGAUAAAAAUGGAAUGAACGUUUUUUUCUCUUUAGAAAUAGUUGCUGAAUAUAAUAAAACCUAAAAAAGAGUUGGGAUAUAAGGAACCGCCAUAUCUUCAACUGAAUUAGUCCGUUAAUCUUUUGGGCCCAGCCCAGGAAACAACUAUAUGCCAACCGAAAAAUCUCAACCAACGGCUAGUUUUGUAAUUUCAAAUAGGAUCUUUCCCAAAAAAGAAGUAAGAUUUCUUAUGGAAUAGGUGAUAAAGAAACAAUAAUGACAUCCAUCCACAUCAAUUAAAGACAAUGAUCAUUUUUUUUUUCUUUUUUAACCUGACCAUCCAAUGGAUAUAAAAAUACAAAAAUGAAUUUUCUAAUAGAAUAAGCAUUUAACAAAAAAUAAAAAAUAAAAAAAUUACAUGAAUGAACAAGUGACUUAAGAGUCUGAUUGUCUCGAAUACUUGGAGAGUUUUACAUGAAGGGUUGGAUCUUUCUUCUUCUUCUUCUUGAAAUGUUUUGAGGCCGCUUUCAGCACCUUGCUCCAUCCCUGUUACAUUAAUUUCACUAUAAUUUAAUAAAAUCCAAAAAAGGAAAAAAAAAAUUGUUGAUGACAUUAUAGAUUCCCCUUUAGAGGUGGCUUCUUUUCCCCAAAUUUUCCCAUAAAUUCCAAGCUUUUUCCAUGUGAGACAAAGAAUGAGGAAAGGGCCCUCUUUCAACAUUUUCUUUCCCCCUUUUCUCCUUAUCCAAACAGAUCCAACACGGAGGCCAAUUUUCCCUAUUGGUUUCCCAGUUUCCUCAAAUGGGUAUAUCCAUUUGAGCUUCAACAACCCAAAAAUGGCUGGAAAAUUUUUCAAAAAAAUAAAAACAAAAAUGGAAAAUAAAAGAGUGGUUACCUUUGUGGAAGGAGGAGUGGGAGAGAAGUGAUCAGGGGGCUUGAUGAAACUCCUCCUCCUCUUCUUCUGCUUCUUCUUAAACAUAGUGAAGAUGUUGUUCUUAAGAUUAGCGGUGACCUUCUUGAGAGUGGUUUUAUCCAAACCCAACCUGUAAGACAACUUCGGAGGUGGCGUUCCCAAAUCCCAGUCCAAAGCAAGAGAUUUUUGAGGGCGAGGCACCAAUGGAGACCAGAUUGAGCUCUGUGAGUAGUCAAAAUCAAAGGCAGAGGUGUCUGGGAAUUUGCCGAGAAGCUCUUCGCACAUGGAUGAUUCCACAUACUCCACCACUUUUAUCAGCCUCCCUUCUUCUUCUUCCUCUUCUUCUUCUGGUACUGCUACUGCUACUGCUACUGCUAAUGCUGAAGACAUUGAGGAAUUGUUUUCUGUGAAUAAAGAAGCUCAAUCACUUUGCCGUUUUUUUCUUUUCAGUUGCUUCGAUUUCUGUAAGGAAAAGUGGAGAAGAUGAUUGUAUAGGAUGAAUGUGGGAAAAAGUUACCGUUGCAAAAGUCUAUUGCUUCCAAAAGGCCUUGUCUUUUCCUCUUCCCGUUUUGCCCUUCACUUGUUUUCGUUACUCUGUCUUGGUGGUCAGAUAGGGCCCAAGGGCUUCAAAGGUAAUUUCAAGGUAACGGUCCGGUUCUGUCCUACUCUUAACGUGACAUCCGUUGCCGUGGAUGUUGAAAUUUAUUAUUGUUUUUCCAAUUACAAUUGUUCAAUUUAAUGAUCGUUUGAUUAGAAUUUUAGAAGAAAGAUAACAAUUUUUAGGGUACCCAACAAAGAACAAAAUUCAUGGAUACUUUUGUAGUACCAAACGAUAAUUUAUAGGUACCGUAUCCAAAAAUCACCACCACUCAGAUUCUAGCUUUUUCUUUAUAUACAUAUUCGAUAAUUAAGAUAAGAAAUUAGAUGGGUUGAUACUUAGGGCCUUAACAUUCCCAACUUUUAUACUUUGUUUUAGUUAGAAAAAAUAUUGUUAAGAAAAAUAAUGUUUUUAUAUAUGAUAUAUUAUGAAAUUUGUAUAAAAUGAAAAAUAAAUCAAAUAAGUUUGAAAAAAUAUGUAUAAAAAUAAUUUAUUAAUUUGUUUGAUUCCAACAAAAGAGAUAAAUUAUUAAGAAAAAUAAUUUUCUUAUUUCAAAGAAAUAAAAAAAAAUAGUUUAUUAAAUUUAUAUUAUUUAAUCUUUAUAUAAAAGAAAAUGAGUUUAAAGAAGUACAUAAGAAUAAUUUACCAACUUUAAAUCUUUUUUUUUUCCUUUCAUUUUCUUUUCUUUUCCAUUUCUAUUUUGUUUCUUUAGCAUUUUUCCACAAAUGUUCCAACAACUAAGUAUAAUUUUUUUUUAAAAAAAAGAAAUUGUUAUAUUUCUAUUUUUCUUUAAAAAAAAAUGUUUUCUCAUAAUUUUUUCUCUAAUUUUCAAAAUCCAUGUAUUGGGUUAAUUCUUCUUUCCAAACAUAAAUGUGAGAUUAUUUAAUAUCUUGUACUUAAGUUAAAAAAUAUGUACUUAACUUUAAUUAAGAAUUAUGUAAGAAAAUAAUUAUGCUUCAAAUAUUUUCGCAUUUUGAUUUGUUACAUGGCAUGUAAACCAUUUAAAAAUAAAACAAAAGAUAGAAAGAUUCAAUCAUCUCCCAAAAAAGAUGAGUCAAAGCAAAUGGUUAAUUAGUUUUAGGCUUUCAACUAACUCUAGUUACAUCCAUGUCUAUGUAUAAAACUCAAGAAGACUAGAAGUUAACUGAGUUGUUGUUACUAAUACAAAGAAAGCUCUUUGUAAUUAUUUUUCUUAGUUCAUCAAUCAAACAUGGUAUUAGAGCCAGAACGACUUACGUCUAUGGCUUAAGUUGCUGCAAUGAAUACCAAUCUCUCUUCAUCAAGCAUCUCCUGCACAAGUGGAACAACAUUGAUGGUGGUCCCCUCACUGAUGUUCUCAUCUACCAUUCCUCAACUAUCUUUGAAACUCACAAGAACAACUAUGGAUUCUAGCGUUCACAAAUUCUUCCAACUGUUCGAGCUCUUGAUCUUUAAAGAUAUUUGCUUGGAACAACGGUGUGUCUCUUUUGUUUCAUUUCAAAUGGAGAUGAUAAUUCUUCAAUAAUCAACUCAGAAUUUUUAAUCUGGAACAAAACAGACUAGUUCAUCAUGAGUUGGAUUUUUUAUUCUCUUUUAGAGUCGAUGUUUGGCCAUAUUGUUUGAUGAAAAAUUGUUACUGAAGAGUGGAGUACUUUCAAUUGAUUGUUUUUCAUCAACUCCAAGUUUCAGGUGCAACAUCUUCAAAAAUAAAUUGUAAGAAGUUUCAAAAGGCUCCCUGAGUAUUAUUGAUUAUUUUUUGCAAAUGAAAGAAAUUGCAGAUACUUUAUAAUUGUAUCUAAUAAAUUCAUCGAUGAUGAAUUGUUGAUGCACAUUUUUGGUGGUUUAAAUCAUGAAUUUGAUGUUAUAAUUGUCAAUCUUUAGUCAAGGAAAGAUUAUGUUUCUCUUGAAGAAGCUUAAUUCCUCCUUCAAAAACUUAACUCUGUUUCAAAUAUCCAUAUUGGUCCCUCUGCAAGUUUUGCUGCCAAACAAGGCCACAAAAUAAACAAUUAUCAAUUCUCUAAGGCUCCUAACAAUAGUUCUUUUCAUGGUGGUUGUGGUGGUCCAAGAAGAGAAAGCCAAAAUAAGCCUAUCUGUCAGUUAUGUGACAAAGUUGGUCAUAUUGCACUGAAAUGUUAUCAUCAUUUCAACAUUAGCUUCAAAAGACCACAACAAUAACCACAAUAUGAAAAUUAUGCUUCGCCACAAGGCACUCAUUUAAAGACAAUGCUCGAGCUUACUUUGCCAUGUUAGCCAUUGUUAAUGACCAUAAUUGGUACAUGGAUAUAGGAGCCACAAAUCACAUUACUGGUGAUCUCAAUAAAUUGACUCUCAAGAUAGGCUACAAAAAUAAGGAAAAACUUGUUGGAAAUGGUAAUUCUCUAAAGAUUUGUCAUAUUGGUUCUUCAACUAUAUCAUCUAAUUUUUCAUCACAACCAUUAUAUCUUCAUGAUAUCUUAAUGUGCCUACAAUUAUAAAAAAAUUAUUAAGCAUAUCUAAAUUCACCAAGGACAACAUUGUUGUUGAAUUUUAUGAUGAUUGUUGUCUUGUUAAGGACAAGAACACGAGGAAGAUUUUGAUGCAGGGCAACCUUAAAAGAGGGCUUUAUCAACUUGAUGUUCUAGUGCUCUUAGGAAGUUUAAAAUUUGUCUCAAAUUUUGGUUCUAGUUUUCCUUCAAUUUCUCUAGCACAAGUCAAAUCUAAUGAGGCUUGUAUUCAAAUUGUGAACACUUAGCAUAGCAUGCUUAGUCAUCCUCAUGCUCAAGUGUUAGCACGGGGAUGCUCAAGUGUCUUUAAGAACUGAGUACCUUUAAUUCUAUGAUGUCUGUCAAUAUGGAAAAGCUUGUCAGUAUAGGGACCUUCACCUAUUUUUUCUAUAGAAGGCUAUCAAUAUUACAUUCACUUUCUGGAUGAUUUUACUCACUAUGCAUGGAUAUUUCCAUUAAUGAAGUUAAAAUAUAAAACCAAAGGUAUUUUUCUACAAUUUCAAAUCUUGGUAGAAAGACAAUUCAAUAGAAAAUUAAAAUGUCUUCAAACUGAUUAAGAAGGUGAAUAUAGGCCUUUUUUUGCCUAUUCUAGCUCAACAAGGUGUAGUUUUCAAACAUCCAUGUCCUCAUACUCAUUAGAAAAAUGGAAGAGCAAAAUUAAAACAUAGACAUAUAGUUUAGCCUGGAUGAACACUCUUGGCACAAGCACACAUGCGUCUAUAUUUUUGGUAGGAUGUUUUUGUGAUUGUAGUGUUUUUUAUCAAUAGAUUACCUACCCAAGUUCUUAAUUAUACUUCUCAUUUUCAAUCUCUUUAUCACAGAAAACCAAAUUAUAAGGUUCUAAGGGUUUUUGGUUGUGUUUGCUUUCCUUAUCUAAGGCCCUAUAAUAAACACAAGUUUGCCUUUCAUACAACCAAGUGUGUCUUCCUUGGUUAUAACUUGGUGCAUAAAGGGUUUUGUUGUCUGAGUUCUCCAGGUUAGAUUUACACAACCAUGAGUGUCUUAUUUGAUGAAGAGCGUUUCCCUUUUGCUAUUGGUUUUCAAGUUAAAAGGUCUAGUGCUUCUAAUUUUGUUUUUGUUGCCACUAAUGAAACCAAUAUCUUUGGUAUGUGGCAUGUUCCCUCACCAAAUGAUUUUUUAACUUCUACUACAUCUAUUUUACCUUAAACAAUAGUUUCAUCAUCAUCUUUGGCUAGCGCACUUGUUGAAAAUAGAGCAUUACAACUUGUUGAAACUAAUACUGUUGAGGAUCCCAAUAUAUUACAAUAUGAGAAUCAAGUUAAUAAUGAGAAUCAAACUAUUAAGUCUAAUUCUUCAUCUAUUUAGAAUACUCAUCCCAUGCAAACUAGAUCCAAGUCUAGAAUUUUCAAACCAAAGGUCUUCUUUGCCAAACAGAAAAUAAAUACUUUAGUUACUGGACCUUUAAGUGUGGAAUAAGCUCUAUUGGAUCCAAAUUGGAAAAAGACAAUGGAUGAUGAGUAUAAUGCCCUUUUAUCAAAUAAUGCAUGGAGCUUAAUACCUUAUACAAAUGACAUAAAACUUGUGGACAAAAAAUGGAUUUUUUAAGUAAAAUAUAAUCCUAAUGGUUCUAUACAAAGAUAUAAGGCCCAACUUAUUGCUAAGAGUUUUCAACAAAUAGCAGGGCUUGAUUACUUUGAUACUUUUAGUCUUGUUAUCAAGUGAUCAACCAUUCUUGUAGUGCCUACUAUUGUUGUUACAAAAGGUUGGGAUAUUCAACAGAUUGAUAUUAGCAAUGCAUUUUUAAAUGGAGACCUAUAAGAAAUUGUAUACAUGUUUCAACCAAUUGGUUUUAUUGAUCAACAUGCUUCAUACCAUGUUUGCAAGCUACACAAGGGCUUAUAUGGUCUAAAACAAGUGCCAAGGGCUUAAUUUAACAAGCUUAAAACUGUUAUAUUGCAUUGGGGUUCUGAAAACUCAAAAUCUGAUACCAGUCUCUUCAUACUUAUCUGCAAGCAAAAUACCACUCUUGUUGGUCUAACCAAUGAUGAUAUUGAUUUGAUUUAGCAAGUAAUGAAGGAUUUACAUGAGAAGUUUGCAAUUAAGACUUUAAGUUUCAUGAAUUAUUUUCUUAGAUUUGAGACAUACAGAAAUCAAUCUGGUCUUUACUUAACCCAAACAAAAUAUACUUUGGAUAUUUUGGAGAAAGCUAAGAUGGCAAGAGUUAAUCCAAAUUCAACACCUUUUUUCAGUUGGGGUUAAUAAUUGCUUGGUUUUUCAUCGUUUAUUGGAUCAAAACAAAAUUUAUAACCUAAUUCACUAUUCUAGAGUAGCUUGUACCUGAUCAAAAAGUGGUUUUUGUACAAACUACUAUAGUAUAAUGGUUUUUAGGUGUCGUCCACUAGGAUGGAUUAUUCUCGGUAAUUAAGGCUUGAAUAAGAGGAUAAGAAAUGAUUGUGAUCAAGUGAAAUUGAUUUAAAAAUUCAUAGUGAAAAAUUAAUGUAACAAUGGUCUCAAAUUGAAAAGAAAAAUGAAAUGCAAAAUAGAAGAAAAUUAAUAGGAGAUGAAAUUCUUGGAGUUAGGAUUUUCUAGAAAAUAAUUUCCAUGGUGAAUAGAUGUUGAGAUUUAAUUUUCAUCAAGUUAGAUUGAAAACCUAAAUUUUCAUCUAAACCAAUUUUUGAUUUAGCUUUAGGUCUAGAUCUAAUUUCUCUUCAAAUUAGGUCAUUUAAUCCAAGAGAUCAAUUCAAUUCAUCUUAAAUUAUCUUCCAAUGAUUCACACAAUGCAACUAUUCAAUAUCAUCAAAUCCAGCUUUAAGAAUUUAAUGAAUCUAUCUAGUUUGCAUUGUAGAAGUCAUCCAAGACAAUUUGAAGAGAAAAAUCCUCAAAAUUCAAUUAAUCAAUCAAUUGGAUCAAAUCACAUUUGCAAUUCAAGCUCAUUUCUCUAAUUCACCAUAGAUCUUGCCUUUAGAUCCUCAUUCCUCUGAGAAAAAUGAGAUUUAGCCACUCAUGCUUGGAGAUUUGGUCUCACAAGACAUGUGUUGGCUAGUAAGAAAAUGAAAGAAAAUGAAGGAAAUUAAAGAAUUCUCUAGAGAGAUAAAAUCUGAAAAAUUCUACAAAUUAGAAAUAUCUAAAAAGCUCCUCAAAUGAGAAAAUCAAGUUUCUAUUUAUAGGCCAAGGUUAAGUGGACACUUGGCAUCAUCUAAGAGGUCUCCCGGAGGCUUCUUCACCAAGAAAUCUGGAGUUUAGUAAUAAAAUGGUCAUUUAACAAGAGAUUUAGCAAUGUCACACAAGAUCUAGCAAUUUCGCACGAGAUCUAGCAAUUUCGCAUGAGAGCCAACAAUUUCGCAUGAUUGUGUGAAGUCAAAAAUACAUCAGCACCAAUUUUCGCAUGGUCAUGCGAAAUCAACUUUGAGAUUUCCCUUUGAUUUGUAGCAAAAAAUACCUUUUGGUCCAUUUCAUAUGACUGUGCGAAAUUUUCGCAUGGUCAUGCGAAAUGGAAAUACAUAAUUUUUCAACUUUUUUUUGUCAUUUCUUCCAUUUCUUUCUUUUGAAUCCACUUCAAUCACCUCCAAAUCAAUUCCAAAUCCCAGUCCAAACUAAUUACAUUACUUUUGUCAUUAUGCAUUUGGAUCUUCAUCAACUUUAUUUAUUCUCUUCAAUUUGAUUGAUCUCUUUUGUCACCAAUUUAUCGAAAUCAUACCUUGAAAUGAGUCCAAAACUUCAUAAAACUUGUUAGUAACUCUUGCAAGGGCAAUAACAUGUUAAUUGAGUGUUUUAGGCAUAAUUAUUACUCAAAAGAUGUGAAACUCAUGAAAAUUAUUAUCUAAGAUAUGCUCUUUUGAGUAGUAAUCAUUCUCCCCAACCAACGCAUUGCUAGUCCCUUAGUAAUGGUAUGACAAAAAGGAAGAAAAACAAUACCAAACAAAAGAAAUCAUAAGUCACAUAAGCAAAUCAUUUGAAAAAAAAAAUCUUUAAAAUUUCCAUAGCAUAAAUGAUUGAUAAACAAGCACACCCUACUAUCCAUAGGUAUCAACAAAAUCCCAACUUAUUUACUAUCUCUAAUAGAAAGAAUAUCAUGCAAAUCAAGGUAUCAAAAACAUAUCCAUCUUCAUUCCCCAAACAAUUUUUCCAAACAAGUCUUGAGUGUAAUUAAGCUAGCCCUCGAAUAUAGUACUCAAAACUAAUCCUCCCCCCAACCAAUCUCAAUUUAUCUCAAACAACAAAAAUCACUCUCUCAUAGGUUAAGAACGCACUUAUAUUUAUUUUAUUAUUAUUAUUUUUUUCAAAGGACUUAUUGUAGGAGUGUUAUGCUAAAGGUAUCUCCAAGUAUAUGGUCCAUGUAGCGGGGAUUCAUUAAUGACUCCCAACCAUAAUGCAUAGGGCACCAAGUUUAUAAGACUAUUUAACUAGCCAUUAACUCCUCGGACUUCACCUCGGACUCCUCAAAUUAGGAUCCAAUACCUUAGCACCUACAAUUGAACUCAUACUCCACCUAUUCACCCAUGUAACGAGCAUUGAGGUCGGUGGCUCCCAACCAAAAUGGCUUAGGGCACUGGGCUUCAAAGACCUUUGGGUCAUAUACCCCUCGGACCUUGCUCAGGUUUCAAGGCAAGCAUAACUCAACCUUUUUAUUCAUCAACUUUUUUUUUUCAAAUUAGGCACAUUGGCUUCUUUUUAAGGUGUCUCAACUCAAUUAAAGAGUAAUCAAUGUUACAAGAUAAUUAAGUCCAAGUCUUAAGGUUAGACUAGUUUUUCAUCUUAUAUUUGGGGUCUAGAGUGCACAAUAUGUGUUAAAACUCAAAUCGAAAUGACCCUUUGGAAAAUAAAGACUUCAAAGUCAAAUCAACUUUAAUUUACAUAACAAAUUUUUUAAGAUCAAGCAAAUAAGCUAGUAUUCUAAAUCAACUUUUUCAAGUUAGGUUUGAAUCAUCUAAAAAAAAAAAUUCAUCAAAUAAGUCACAAAUGUGAUUUAUGAAAAAAAAAUCUAAAAAAACUAACAAAACUAACAACAUAUUUCCUUCUCUUACUUUCUAACCCUUCCCCCAACCAAACAUGUACAUUGUCCUCAAUGUGUAAUGAAAAUAUACAAAGAAAGGAAGGGAAGAUACCUCAAUCUCUCAUGAAUUUCAGCUUCAAUAGCUAAAACAAAAAUAAAAUCACACAUGAGAAUUGUUGGAUAUGAAUGGCAUAAGAGAAGAAAAUAUGAAAACAAAUUUAUUAAAAACCAAAAAACUAUGUUAGAGACACAAUGUGUGGAGUAAAAUCAAGGUAUAGAUGAUGAUCAUGUCCAAAGAAAACAUGAUUUCAAUGAUAAGUCAAUGAUUCACAUGGAGUUUUUUAAAAUUUCUCACAAGUGUCUAAACUAGACAAGAAGGUGAAAUAUGUUGCAAUUACUCUCUUCUUUUAAAAGAAUUUGGCACAAUCAUGUGAAAAUUUGCAUGUACAUACGAAUUGGUCAAGAGAGUUCUAUCUUAUUAUUGCCUUUAGCAGAAUUUUUGCAUGGUCAUGCGAAAGUUUACAUAAUUAUGCGAAUUAGUCCAGAGGCUUAAAACUGUUGCAAUCAUCCACAUCAGUUUCGCACAGUCAUGCGAAAAUUUUGCAUGAUCAUGCGAAAUGAGACAUAGACUCAUUUUUUUGGAUUUUCAAAGCUAUAAAAACUCCCCUGUUUAUUGCAUGAAUUCUCUUGUUUUUGCGUGAACAUGCAAAAUGGUGAUGAACCAUUAAAACUCUUUUUUCCUUUGCCUCAUGCAUUCUAUCCAUCCGAAAAGUCCUUCAAAAUACAAAUCAAAGAGUUGAGAUGGAUUUAUUUAAUGGAAACUAAAAGAAAAAUAAUAAAAAAUCAAAAUUCAAAGGAAAGUAGAGAAAUGAGAAACCAUUGGGCUAGCUAGCCAUUGACAUGACUAAGCCUAUUAACCUUUGCAUCAAUACUCAAUUUGGAUAUGACUUGCAAACAAUGAAUGGACCAACUCCUUGAUACUUAAGUUUUCUCAUAAAAACAUGUGGCUUGAAAUAGCCUUCUUUGAACUUGUUCUUUUGAAUAAGUUGGCCAUACCAUUCCUUGAGCUUUUUUUUUUUCAUGGUCUUUAAAUUAUUGUGCACACCAUGCUUCAUGGUUUUCACUUUCUUCAAGCUGAAAGACCAUUUCAUUAACUUCAAAAGUUCAAUUUCUUCAUUGAUCCUCCAAAUUUCAAUCUGUUCAUUAGAAAUUACUUCACCAAGUUUUGAAAAAUUAUCUUCAACAUUUUCUUUCACUAGAUUUUCCAUAGGUAAUUCAAUCAAAUAAGCCUUUAUAAGCCCCCUUUCCUCUUUAGUACCAUACUUCUUACAUGAAUGAAAAAUGUUCAACUCAAUUGUCAUGUUCCCAAAGGUAAGUUGCAUCACCCCACUUCGACAAUUAAUCAAUACAUUUGUUGUGGCAAUGAAAGGUCGACCAAGUAUAAUAGGAACAUGGUUGAGUCCACUAAUUCCUUGUUCCGUAUCAAACACCACAAAAUCAACUAGAUAAUAGAAAUUAUCAAUUUGGAUCAACACAUCUUCAAUAAUUCCUCUUGGAAACUUAACCGAUCUAUCCGCCAAUGAAAGUGUGAUGGAAGUAGACUUUAGUUCUGGAAGCCCUAAUUGCAUAUAUAUUGAGUAGGAAAGAAGAUUCACACUUGCACCCAAGACUAAAAGUGCUAUUUUCACAAAAGUGUUGCCAAUAUUCAACAAGAUAGUUGGACAUCUUGGAUCCUUAUACUUGAUUGGAGUCUUGCAUUGGAUGAUUGCACUAACUUGUUCAGUCAAGAAAGCUUUCUUUUUCAAAUGCAUCAUUCUCUUUAUGGUACACAAAUCCUUAAGACACUUGGCAUAGGCUGGAACUUGUCUAAUCAUGUCAAGGAGUGGUAUAUAGACUUUUACUUGCUUCAAAACUUCAAAAAUUUCUGAAGCAUUAUUUACCAUCUUCCUUGAUUGAAGAGCCAUGGGAAAAUGUGGAGAUAAGAACAUAUCCUUGUUCAUUUUAGCUUCACUCUUCUCCUCCUUUUCUCUUUCAAAAUUUUCAGUCUUUGUUCUUUUACUCUUCUUAUCAUUUUCAGUCUUCACUUCCUUCUCUUUUGGUUUUGGCAUAGGUUGAUCAACUUGCUUAACACCUCUUAAGGUAAUGGUUGCUUUGACUUCAUCAUACUUAGUAUAACUUUCACUUGUCUUUCCAAUUUUAUGGACUUGACUUGGAUUUUGUUGGGGUUGUGAAGAGAAUUUUCGUUUUUCUUGCACCUUAUGCAUGUUUUUGAGUUUAGAAAUAGCAAGCUGCAUAUUAUCAAUCUUUUGUGUGAGAUUGGUUUGCAAGCUAUCAAAUUUCUGAUUGAAAGAUGUCUCCACAUGAUCUAUCAUUUGAUUUACUUGAGUAGUGAUAUUCUUUUGAUCACUAAUAAAAUCUUCUAAAAUUUUACUCAAGUUUACAAUAGCUUGCUUAGCCAAAGAAACUCGUUGUGAAGAGUCUUCCAUGAAUUGUUGGCUUUGUGAGUAUUGACUUGAAGAAAAAUACUCUUGUCCACAAUUCCAUGACAUGUUUGGAUGAUUAUCAACAAGUCUUUCCCCCAUAGCUGGUAUUGUAGGACAAUCACUCACUUCAUGUUCUAUAGAUUGACAACUAGAACAUUGCUCCAUGUAAAUUGUAUUAUCAUAUAUUGCAUUCACCUCGUGAAAUCCCUUAGCUUCAAGUUCCUCUAGCCUUUUUGUCAAAGCUAUCAUUUUAGCUUGUAGAUCAACAUAUUUAUUCAACAUAUACAUUCCUCCAUUUGAAUUGCUUUGAGACUUGGACUUGUGUGAAUCCCUUUCAUGUGGCUCAUCCCAUGACCUUGAUAUUUCAGCCACAUAAUUCAAAAAUUCAAAGGCUUCAUCGGGACUUUUGCUCAUAAAGUCACCUCUACACAUGGUUUCUAGCAAUUGCUUCAUAGUUGGCGACAUGCCUUCAUAGAAGUAACUCACCAACAUCCCUGUCUCAAAACCAUGAUGAGGACAAGCAUUGACUACUUCCAUAUAUCUUUCCCAACAAGCACAAAAUUUUUCAUUGUCCAGUGCCACAAAGUUAGUAAUUUGCCUUUUCAAGCCACUUGUGCGAUGUAUGGGAAAAAAAAUUCUUCAAGAAGGUUGUUUAUAGUUCCAACCAUGACCUUAUGCUUUGGGGCCUCAAUGAGUUAAACCACAACUUAGCCUUAUCCUUUAAUGUGAAUGGAAAAAGCUUUAAUCUCAUAAGCUCUAUGAAUGUAUUUCCCUCAUGAAAUGUAUGACAUACUUCUUCAAAAUCCUUUAUAUGAGUAUAAGGAUUCUCAUUCUCCAUUCCAUGAAACUGAGGGAGAAGUGGUACCAAGUGAGUUUUUUUUUUAUUUUUUAUUUUUAUCACAAUAGGCUCAUUAGGAAGAACUAUACAUGAUCUCACGCCUAUCCUUUGAGGAUUCAUAAAUUCUCUCAUUGAUCUAGACAUGUGAGAAUUGCCAUUGCUUGGUCCUUGUUGAGUUUGUUGAUUUUCCCCUUGAUUUUCCAUUUCCCCAACAAUUGGAUCACAAACUAAAGAUGAUUAGCAAUGUAAGUCCUUUGUAAUCUCUCCCUUGAGUUUUAUUCUAAAUGUAGCAUGCAAUGGAGAGCCUACAAAACAAGCUAAAAAAAAAAACCAAAACAAACCAAGAAGAACAAAAAGAGAAAUAAAAGAUAAAAAUGGAAUUAAAAAAAAAUGGAGAAUCGGUAAAGAAAACUUCAACAAUCUUGUGAUGUGGAUCACAGGGGCUAAUCCUCACGAAAAAAUUUGCCUCAAUAACCUUAGCACCAUCCCCAGCACCAGCAUCAUUUUUGAUCGCUUGGUUUUUCGUCGUUUAUUGGAUCAAAACAAAAUUUAUAACCUAAUUCACUAUUCUAGAGUAGCUUGUACCCCAUCAAAAAGUGGUUUUUGUACAAACUACUGUAGUGUAAUGGUUUCUAGGUGUCGUUCACUAGGAUGGAUUAUUCUCGGUAAGAAUGAGAGGAUAAGAAAUGAUUGUGAUCAAGUGAAAUUAAUUUAAAAAUUCAUAGUGAAAAACUAAUGUAACAAUGGUCUCAAAUUGAAAAGAAAAAUGAAAUGAAAAAUAGAAGAAAAUUAAUAGGAGAUGAAAUUCUCGGAGUUAAGAUUUUCUAGAAAACAAUUUCCAUGGUGAAUAGAUGUUGAGAUCUAAUUUUCAUCAAGUUAGAUUGAAAACCUAAAUUUUCAUUUAAACCGAUUUUUGAUUUAGCUUUAGGUCUAGAUCUAAUUUCUCUUCAAAUUAGGUCAUUUAAUCCAAGAGAUCAAUUCAAUUCAUCUUAAAUUAUCUUCCAAUGAUUCACACAAUGCAACUAUUCAAUCUUAUCAAAUCCAGCUUUAAGAAUUUAAUGAAUCUACCUAGUUUGCAUUGUAGAAGUCAUCCAAGACAAUUUGAAGAGAAAAAUCCCCAAAAUUCAAUUAAUCAAUCAAUUGGAUCAAAUCACAUUUGCAAUUCAAGCUCAUUUCUCUAAUUCACCAUAGACCUUGCCUUUAGAUCCUCCUUUCUCUGAGAAAAACGAGAUUUAACCACUCAUGCUUGGAGAUUUGGUCUCAUAAGACAUGUUUGGCUAGUAAGAAAAUGAAAGAAAAUGAGAGAAAAUGAAGGAAAGUAGAGAAUUAUCUAGAGAGAUAAAAUUUGAAAAAUUCUACAAAUUAGAAAUAUCCAAAAAGCUCCUCAAAUGAGAAAAUCAAGUUUCUAUUUAUAGGUCAAGGUCAAGUGGACACUUGGCAUCAUUUAUGAGGUCUUUCGAAGGCUUCUUCACCAAGAAAUCUAGAGUUUAGUAAUAAAAUGGUCAUUUCGCACGAGAUCCAACAAUUUCGCAUGAUUGUACGAAGUAAAAAAUGCAUCAACACCAAUUUUCGCCUUCAUGGAGCAUUUCGCAUGUUUUGCAUGGUCAUGCGAAAUCAGCUUUGAGAUUUCCCUUUAAUUUACAACAAAAAUGUCUUCUGGUCCAUUUCACAUGACUGUGUGAAAUUUUCGCAUGAUCAUGCGAAAUGGAAAUACAUAAUUUUUCAACUCUUUUUUGUCAUUUCUUCCAUUUCUUUCUUUUGAAUCCACCUCAAUCACCUCCAAAUCAACUCCAAAUCCCGGUCCAAACCAAUUGCAUUACUUCUUUCAUUAUGUAUUUGGAUCUUCAUCAACUUUAUUUGUUCUCUUCAAUUUGAUUCAUCUCUUGUGUCACCAAUUUAUCAAAAUCAUACCUUGAAAUGACUCCAAAACUUCAUAAAACUUGUUAGUAACUCUUGCAAGGGCAACAACAUGUUAAUUGAGUGUUUUAAGCAUAAUUACUACUCAAAAGAUGUGAAACUCGUGAGAAUUAGUAUCUAAAAUAUACUUUUUUGAGCAGUAAUUAGUUAAGUUACACUUAAAUGAUAACAAAUUAUUUGAGUAACCCUUCCUAUAUUGAAGUAUCAUUGGGGGGCUUCAAUAUUUGACUAUGACUCAACCUAAUAUAUCCUUUACUGUAAACAAACUUAGUCAAUUUCUUUAUGCACCUACAAAUCAACAAUGGCAAGCCUAUAAAAGAGUACUGAGGUAUUUAAGAGGCACAAUUGGACAUGGCUUGAAGUUUCAACUAAAAAAAGCUUUGGUCCUUGAAGGAUUUACCGAUGCAAAUUAGGUUAGUAACAUUGAUGACAAGAGAUCUACAAGUGGUUAUUGUAUUUUUCUUGGAGGAAAUUUGAUUUAAUGGAGUUCUUGAAAGAAAAAAGUUGUAGCAUGUUGGUUAUGUAUUGAGAGUGAGUAUCAAGUUUUAGCUCAAGCUGCUACUGAAAUAGUUUGGCUACAAAUUAAGCUUGUUUGUUGAACUUGGACUCAAAACUAUGCAUAGUCCUAUAUUGUGGUGUAACAACAUUGAAGUAAGAUCCUUAGCUUCAAAUCUUGUGUUUCAUGCAAAAAAAAAAAAAAAAACACAUAGAGAUUGACAUUCAUUUUGUGAGACAAAAAGUUAUUGCAAAAGAGCUAGAUAUAAGGUAUGUGCCAACUGAAGAACAAAUUGUAGAUCUAUUGACUAAGCCCUUAACCACUACUCGGUUUGAACUACUUCAUGACAAACUCAUCUUUGCCAAGGCAUAACAUUGCUUGAGGAAGUGAGUUGAAGCAAGUGGUUAAUUAGUUUCAACUAACUCUGUAAUUAGUUCGCAGGACUAACUACUUUCUAUUACAGAAAGUUCUCUAUGCUUCCAGAAUUCUCUAGUUACAUCCAUGUCUAUGUAUAAAACUUAAGAAUACUAUAAUUGUUUUUCUUAGUUCAUCAAUCAAACUAGACAUAGUUAUGCUGAAAAAGAUAAUUAUCUCACUUGCAAACAUAUCUGGGUGGAAUUAAAAACAGUUAAUUUAUAUUGUAAUGAUCAUUGAUAUUAAUUAAGAAGAAUAUUCGGCUCUUAAUUUGAGAAUGUAUCAAUUUGGAAAUUCCAACAAUUUGUUUAAUAGUUGCAAAUGAUAAAUUAUAAUUUAGGAAUAAAAAAAUAUUAAUUGUAUAUUUUUAGUUUUUUUCCGUUUUCCACUUGACACAAAUAUUGCAAUUUUUUAUUAAAUUAGUUUGUUUAGAACAUUAUUUCAAGAACAAAAUUAAGAAAAGAUAAUUUGAUAUGAAAUAAAAGUCCGAAAUAAAUUAUUUGUUAUUUGAUAGAAAACUUGAUAGUAGUAAAAUAUGUUUAUAUAUAUAAAAAAUUUUCUUACUGUAGACCCCUGUUAAGGUGAAGGCCUGGGGGAGAAUUGGGAGGGGUUUUUUUUUUUCAUUUUUUCACUGCAUUUUUUGGAGAGUUGGGGGGGGGGGGGGGGGGGCGGGGGGCCUCCUCUAGGCAUGGGACGUGUCAGGUUGGUAGUUGAGGAGGCCAUGCUGCUGAUGUGAUGAACAGGGUGAUGAGGAAGAAGACAGAAACCAGCUGAGGGGCAAGAGGAUAGCAGGGAGCAAGGGUGAGGAGGAAGGAACUUGAAGCCUAGCUAGUCUUGAGAGAGUCCACUUACAGGUACGAACCUCAUGUCUUUCACCUUCCAUUAUUCUCCUAUCCUUCCUGACGUUUUUUUUAGUUCUAGUCCUAAACCAUAAUUUGUUUACUUUGUUUACUUUGGUUAAAUUUAGUCCUCUGCAUACAUGCUUUGUUCUUGGUUUUUUUUUUUUUUUCUUUGUUUCGUUUUCUCCCACCCCUUGGAGCUGGUUGCAACUGACGAACCCCUAAAGAGGAGCACUGAAUCAGUGCCAAUCCAAAGCGUUUCUUACGCUAUGAAACCGAAGAACUCCUCCUGCUUAUCUGUAACUCCGAUGAAAUGGACUUUGACGAUGUCGUUUCUGUUAUCCAUGACGAUGAGGAGCUUCAACCUGGACAACCCUAUUUCGCGCUGCCAUUGGGCAAGUUGAAGCAACCGCUUCAGGCGGAGGAGAUGGCCGCUUUGGCUGUCAAGGCGAGGUCCGCCCUCAUGAGGAGUGGCGGAGACCAAUGCCAGUGUCGCCAAAAGUCUCCAUUGCCGGCCAUGUUUUCUGGCGAGAAGGACUCGAAGUCGUCCGGGAGAGUAGCUCCCGGCGGUGGUGUCGAAGGCGGAGGAGGCAGUGAGACGGAGGAGUACGUGGAUGCGCCGUGAAGAGGACGCACGUAGGCUGCCGUUCUCUGGCGCUUAUUCCGACGUGGUGGCGUCGCCAUUGCCGCCGCGGGAAGGUGGUGAUCGUGCUGAAGCCAGGCGCGGGGGGGCGUGCUGUGAAGAAGAUGAAGUUUGGGCUUGGGCUUGAGUUGGGGCACUAGGCCCAAUUUUGUGAUGGAGAUAGGUUUUGGGCUUACCUAUGUUGGUUUUUGGUUUUGGGCUUACCUAUGUUGGUUUUUGGUUUUGGGCUUGCCUAUGAUGGCUUUGGUUUUGGGCUUAAGUUGGAGCCCAGGCCCAAGUUUGCUGAUGGAAGGCCCCAUUGCUCCUUAUGCUAGCCACUCUCAUGGCCCAAGUCCAUGAUGAGUGAGCCCAUUUAGCUACUUCAUGUCCUAACAAGUUUUAAAUCUUUAAUCUUAGUAAAUUAUUAACUUAUUCAUGCAUUUUCAUUUUACUUUUUUUAUCUUAUUUUAUCUUCACUAAUUUAGUUAGCUCAAACUUAAAGACAACUUAAAGACAAAUUAUUAAUUAUAUUUUUAUCUCGAAAUUUAUACUAUUCAAUUUCACUAGCUUAAACAUUAUGAUUAUUAAUUAUUAUUAUUAUUUCGCAUGUAUCUAUUUAUCAUAUUUCAAAAAUCUCAUUUUAUUAAAGUUAAAAUUCUAAUCCUUCAAAAUCCUAUGUCUUAAUUUAAUUCUUCGAAUAUUUGUUUAAAUCUCAUUUUCAUCCAUUAGAAUUAUUUAUCUCAUAUUUAUCUAGCUAUUUAAAGUCUAAUCUUUUAAAAAUCCUAUGUUUUAAUUUAAUUCUUCAAUAAUCAGUUCAAAUUUCAUUUUCAUCCAUUAGAAUUAUUUAUCUCAUAUUUAUCUAGCUAUUUAAAAUCUAAAUCCUUUAAAAAUCUAAUGUCUUAAUUUAAUUCUUCAAUAAUUAGUUCAAAUCUCAUUUUCAUCCAUUAGAAUUAUUUACCUCAUAUUUACCUAGUUAUUUAUAGUCUAAUCCUUAAAAAAUCCUAUGUCUUAAUUUAAUUCUUCAAUAAUUAGUUCAAAUCUCAUUUUCAUCCAUUAGAAUUAUUUAUCUCAUAUUUAUCUAGCUAUUUAAAAUCUAAAUCUCUCAAGGAAAUCGUAUGUCUUAAUUUAAUUCUUCGAAUAUUUGUUUAAAUCUCAUUUUCAUUCAUUAGAAUUAUUUAUCCUACAUUAUCUAGCUAUUUAAAGUCUAAAUCUUUCAAGGAAAUCUUACGUCUUAAUCUAAUUCUUCAAUGAUUAGUUCAAAUCUCAUUUUCAUCCAUUAGAAUCGUUCGUCCCAUAUUUAUCCAGCCAUCUAAAGUCUAAAUCUUUCAAGGAAAUCAUGUCUUAAUUUAAUUCUUCAAUAAUUCGCUUAAAUCUUGUUUUCAUCAAUUAGAAUUAUUAUCAUAUAUUUACCUAAUUAUUCAAAGUCUAACCCUUCAAAAAUCUCAUGUCUUAAUUCAAUUUUUCAACAGUCCAUUCAAACCUUAUUCGUCUAAAUGUUAUCUUCCUUAAGUAGAAUUAUUAUCAUAUACCUAUUUAUUUAUUUAAAGUCCAAUUCUUCAAAAACCCAACGUCAUAAUUUAAUUUUCAACCCUAAAAAUUCCAUUAUUCUUUUUAUUAGUUUAAAUGUUAUUUUCAUUAAUUAGCAUUAUUAUCCUAUAUUAGUUUAUUUAUUUAAAAUCCAAUCCGUCAAAGAUCCAAUGCCCUAAUUUCAUUUUCCAAGUCCUAAAAAUUCCACUAUUCGUCUAAAUGUCAUUUUCGUUAAUUAGGAAUUAUUGUCUCAUAUUUAGUUAUUCAAAGUCUAAUCCUUCAAAAAUCCAAUGUCAUAAUUUAAUUUUCAAUCCUAAAAAUUUCAUUAUUCGUCUAAAUGUUAUUUUCGUCAGUUAGAAACUUCAUACUUGUUUAUCUCUUUUAAAAAUCUCAAUAAUUGAACUUAAUUUUCAACCCUAAAAGUUCCACUAUCCUUUUUUAUUCGUUUAAAUGUUAUUUUCGUCAAUUAGUAUUAUUACCCUAUGUUAGUUUAUUUAUUUAAAAUCUAAUUCUUCAAAAACCUCAUGUCUUAAUUUAAUUUUUCAAUCCUAAAAAUUCUAUAAUUUGUUUAAAUGUUAUCCUCAUCAAUUAGAAUCAUUAUCCCAUAUCUGUUUAAAGUCCAAUCUUUCGAAAACCCCAUGCCCUAAAUUUGACUUUCAAUCCCAGAAAUUCCAUCAUUCGCCUAAAUGUUAUCUUCAGUAAUUAGAAUUCUUAUCACCUAUCUAUUUAUUUGUUUAAGGUCCAACUCUUCAAAAAUUCAACACCUUAAUUUAAUUUUUAAUCUUAAAGAUUCCACUACUCAUUUUCUAUUCGUUUAAAAUAUUGUUUCCGUUAAGUAGCAUUAUUAUUCCAUAUUAUCUAUUUAAUCUAAUUGUUAAAGUUUAAUUCAUCGGAACCCGACUUCCAAAUCUAAUUUCCAACCUCAAAAGUUCUGCCGUCCAAAUAUCGUCGUUUAAUGAUUAUUCUCAUUAUUAAUGUUAUCCCAUCCACUUACUUAUUCAAUUACUCAUAUACCAAAGAUCUCAUCCCUGAACAAAUUCUUAAGUUCUCAAACUCUAAGUUCACAUCUUCAAAUCUCUAAAAUUCCAUCUUUUGCAAUUAUUUACCUAAUCUUUAUUGCUUCACCACUAUUAUUAUUCCAUUCCUUUACUUAUUCACUCAUCCACUUACCUACUCGUUUAAAAUCUCGAACUCUCAAAUCAUUUCCAAAAUUCCAAUUUCUUUAAAAUUUAAUUUCUAAAAAUUCUCAUUCUUACAUUUAAUUCCUAAAAAUCCAAUUUUCAAAUAAUCUCCAAGACUAAUUUUCAAAUGAAUUUCAAAAAAUCUAGUUUUCCCUUGAACAAUUUUAGUUUCUGUUUGGUAAUGCAAGUGAUAUGUUUUAUGCUCUUUAUUAUACACUGACCCCAUUUUUAUGAUAGCGCAUUGCUCGAUCGUGGCCCAGGUACGCAUCCAUUCCAUUUCUAGUCAUUUUAUAUGCACGUUUUGAUUCCCAUAUAUGCAUGAUCGAUUCGAGUAUCCAUUGAUUUUCCUAUUGAUUGCCACGUCAGCUUCAUUUUAUUAGUAGAGACCCGACUUUAGGGACUUAGAGGGGUGCUAUAGUUUUUACCGUACCUUCCCGAUAAGUAACCUAACCCCCGAACCCGAUCCGGUUUUUUUGUAGAUCACCUUUUCCAAAAUAAGGAGUCGCACUUAGAGUUUUCUUUCUUAUUUUGUUUACCCUUUUAAAAUAGAACAAAAAUAAGUGGCGACUCCAAGUCAUUUUCUAAUAAAUAAAAUUGUUUUUCAAAUAAAAUCAAGUUCGUCAUCGAGUGGAAAACGCGUGAGCCGAAAUGCGAGGUCCACACUUACUUUUUCCUUAUUUCAUACCUAAGGUAGAUGCCUUACAAAAUAAUUAUUUGAUAAAAAAAAAUUGAUUAUUUUGAAAACAAUGUAAUCAAUUUUCACUUUUACUAACUGAUUAGAGUGUUUUACAGAAAAUAUAGGGAUGGAAAAUAGAUAGUUCAAAAUAGAUCAAAUCUCAUAUUCUUAUCUUUAUUCUAAUAAAAAUUUUAUACAAAAUUGGGUGGAGUACAAAAAAAUAAUUAUGAGAAUUUCUCAUAUUUUGUCUGUCUUGUACUAUUAUUAUUAUUUCUAAAAAACCUAAAUAUUAAUUAUAUUAAAACUAAAAAUAAUAGGCAUAAGAUAUAAAAAAUAAAAGGAAAAUAUGAAAAAUAAAAUAUUUUUUUUAAAAAAAAUUAAUUAUAUAUAGAAUAGGGAUAAGAAAUAAGAAUAAGGAAAUAUUGAACCGAGUUUUCUUUUUCCUUUUUUAAAUAAAAAAUAAAAAAAUCUCAAACCAGUUCUAAUAGGGGUAAGGUGGGUAAGUACCUAAAAAACCCACUUCAGCCUCGUUUCAACACAAAAACGAAUAGUUUUGCUAAACUAGGUGGAGGAAGAUCAUGGACUUACGUAUAGAUUAUUUUUUAAUAAAUAAAUAAUUUAUUAUCCUUUGAAGCUUAAAAAAAUAAAAAUAGUUUUUUAACCUAUAAGACAUGUUAAAUAAACUUUUGAUAAAGAAAAUUUUCAUGAUAAUUUGUUUUGAAAAUGAAUUGUUUUUCGGAACAAAUUUGAGAUUUUUUUAUUGUUUUUUGAAAAAGAUUUUAAUUAAUAAUUUAAAAUAAAAAAUAAUUUAAACAAAUAGUUUCAUAGAAAAUAAAGUUAGAAACUAUUUUUCAUAUUUAAGUUCCAAAUAUAUUUUUAUUUCUAAAAAAAUGAAUUUUUUUUUUAAGAAUCAUUCUCAAAAACUAUUAUUUGAGAAUUGUUUUUAAAAUAUUACUAAACAAGCCCUUACAAUUUUUAAUUUUUCCAUCCUAUAUAUAAUGUUAAUCAUAAUUAAAGUAUAACUUGUCUAAGCCUAAUUAGAUUUUUGGAGAAGUGUAGGUUAUAUGUGCCAAGUGUUACACUUGGAAUCAGUUUUUAGAUCCAUUGUCCACUUAUAGAAAAUGGUUUUAUUUUUUUUAGAACAUCAAAAUAAUAUUCUAACUCAAUAGAAAAUAUAUUUUUAAAGAAAAAAUUAUUCGAACAAGUUUCAAUUUUUUUUCUUUUUAUAAAAUAUCCUAAACAUAAUUGAAAGAUGAGAAUACUUUGUACAUUAUUUUCGUAAAAAGUAAGUCUAAAUUUUUUUUUUAUACCUAUGUUUCUAAACAAAAUUUCGUUUUGAUCGAAAAAUAAUUUAUAACAACUAUUCUAAAAAGAAAUGUAUUGUACUCAUAAACAUUGCUAUAUAUGCAUGUUCUAAAUUCAUAUUUAAUUUGAAAGAAAAACUAAUUUUCUCACCAUUAUUUUAAUUAUCACCAUAUCCUCUUCUUCGAACUUGAAAUCAAGUUGAAUUGAUGAUUAUUAAAAAACAGGAGUGUCUGUGAUAUUUUAUAUGGGACAAUUGUGUUUUGGACCCAACUAGGCUCAAAAAUUAAGAUUUGACCCAUAAAAGUUGCAUAAUUGAUGGGAAUGAUAUAAAAUGUGAAAAGACCAAUAUACUCUUCAAAACUAUUUUGAGUAUUUUCUACCACAAUGUUUUAUAAUAUUUUUUACCUUUAUUUUUUUUAAUAAUUAUUUUGAAAUUUUAUUAUUUUUAGAAAACUAUUUUUUUUAAAUAUAUAUUCUAAAAAUAUAUCAUUUAAAAAUAAUAAUUUUGACAUAUUUUUAGUUAUUUUUUACAUACAUAAUUUUAAAAAUAUAUAUUUUUCAUAUUUGUAGACCCCAUUUUGGGGCUCAUUUGUUGUAGUUUAUCUUGCCAGUUGGAGGGCUCUUAAGGAGCCACGUGUUGCCUCAAGAGAGGGUGUUAAAUAAUCAUAUUAGUGGGUAGAGGAUGCAAUGGAGAAAAGACAAGUGUUGAAGGAAUAUUUUGGGGGGAGUGUAUUCUAUUAGAUAGGGACAGUGAGGCAGUUAGAGAGGGGGAAGAGAUUUUGUUGUUGGUUACAGAGAGGUUUUAGGAUAGCUUAGAGGGCAAGACAUCCAGAGGAGGGGGGGAGGAGGGAAGAGCAAGAGAACUUGAGGAGAAAGAUAGCUAAAAAAGAAAAACAGAGAGUUAUAGGAAGGAAGAGCGUUGUAGGGUUGAUAACUUGAGGAGCAAAUUGGUUUGGGAGGAAGGACUGAGAGAAACAAGCUGGGUAUUCCGGAGACAGUGGGUGUGAGACUGUGAGAGAACAUCUGGAGGAGAAAAUUAGUUGGAGGUUGCUUGAAGGAGGAAAAGAAAACUUGAAAGAAUUUUUUCCAGGUACAUUUGUUGUAGCCUCUUGGAUUGCUUUUACUCAUCAUUUUUUUUUUUUUAAUCUUUCAUUCUCUCUAGUUGUCUCUGAUUUUCUGGGCAUCGGUCAAUUGUUUGGGCAUUAGUAUGAUGUUGUAUUACACUUCUCUCAUAUUUGUUUAUUUGAAUAUGGCUCAUUCCCAUAGUAGGAGUUUGUUGAUGCUCUCAUUUUGAUAUUUGUUAUGAACUAUCCUACUGCACCACUGGUCGGCGAAUCCCUGGAUUUCAACAUGAAAAGGGAUCCCACUUAAUAUUCUGCUCACUCUAUUUACUUGGUUCUGGGUAAGCUGUAUCCUGUUUUGCACACUUCUUUACUUCCGGCACCUCAAUUCAUAUCCCUUUUUAUGGCUUAUAUCUUCAAAUUUGCUCUGGACGAUUGGUUGUGUGUUUUGAUCUGUGCUUGAGGAGAGAGGGUUGUGUGUUGGCUUACUACUCUAGAUCCGUGACCCCAGUGGACGAGAUGUAUACAUGUGUUAUAUUAGCUCUUAUUUUGGCUGCUGGGUAUGCCACUGAUGCAUUUGGGAUCCAAGUUCUAUGUAAUUGGUUUUUCCAUGGGUGGACAGGUGAUUUGGAGUUGCCUCAAGUAUAUCCCUCAUAGGCUGGUAGGUGCAACACUAAUAGCUCUAGUGGUCAACUACUGGUGGCCUAGUUUUCCUACAAACUUAUCUAAAGAAGCCUACUACCAAUAGUUUCGGUAGGAUUAGUGGGCGCUUCGUGUUGCUCACUACACACCGUGGCUUACUUACCGGUGGAACACUCAAAAGUGGUUUUCUGCUUGUAGUGUUGCAGAACACAACACUAAUAUUCUUUCUCGCCCAGACAAAGAGCUCAUGCCUAAGCUUUCAAAGAUAAAGGAAUAUAUGGCGUAGGUGAGACAACAAGGAGAAUUUGAGUCUAUCCACCGUGACUUGAUGAUUAGAUUUGGAACUUGGGAAUUUGAUCCCAUGGAUCUGAAGAACCCAUUCCCAAACAAUGAAGGUUCUAUCCACCUAUGGCAUGGAGAUGAAGAUGCAAUUGUGCCUGUUUCACUGCAAUACUACAUUACCCAACAACUCCCAUGGAUCAUAUUUGUAGAUAUCCAUCUGUUUGAUCAGCUCAAUGGGCAGAGACCUCUGCUGAAUCUUCUUCUUUAGGUAGAACCUCACAAGCUCCUCAUUUAUGGGAUGAAACCUAAAGCCAUGCAGCAUAACAUCAUCCAUUUUAUCAGCAUCAUUCCUCUCAUCCAUCAUCCAUUUUCUUCCCUGAUUUCCUCAAACCUGAUUAGGAAUUAGAAUCAAUGAACUCUCUAAGCUGAUAUGGUAGUGAGCUUUUUGGAAAACUAACACCAACCCAUCAAUGGAAAUUACAAUUCACUUUAUUCAAAGCCAUUAUAUGCCUUAUGAUAAGAAGCUUGACUACGCAGCUUGAGCCAGGUUUUAUGGUGGUUGUAAGGGGGAGUGUUUAUCAGUGAAUAUCACAAUGACUUGGUGAUAAGAAUAGCUAAAGGAAAGCUCUGUGAAGAACAACUAGUUACGAGAGAGAGAUAUUCAAAGAAGAGGUUAGAUUCAAGGAGAAACGGAGGAAAGAGUCCCAAGUUUCCUUCCUUAAAGCCUGAAAGUAAAAAUCUAGUGGAUGAAUCUUUGAAAGCUAAUGAAAAGAAAGAAGAAAAAUCCAAGAAAGGUGAUGGUGAUAAGGUGAGAAAGGGAAUGGAGAAGGGGUCUAAGAAAAAUGAGGUGAAAUCUUAGAAAGGGCCGUUAAGAGUUGGACUGGACAUGUGCUAAAAAAAUGGGGAUGUUAUGUGUGCGCUUGAACUAUAUGGUUUGGCUCUAAGGAAAUGAAUUGAAUUAGGGCAAUAUCACUAUAUUGUUCUUUUGUAUCUUUGUUCUUUAGCAGCACUUGGUGUUAUUUAACCUGCAAAAAGUGGAACUGGUAGCCGGAGUUUGGACAUGCUGAGCCCUUCUAGUGAAGCUCAUGGUGAGGUUUCCGAAGAUUUGGCAGAAUUUGGGGACACGAGCAAGAAGAAUUCUGAAGCAUUUGAAGUAGCAAAAGAUGAUUUGGAUGGUAGUUUCACUGAAAUGGACAAGUUAUCUCUAGUCUUUAAUUGCUUUAAUAAGUCAAAUAGUCAACUUUUGGAAGGUCAAAAGCAUUUAAGAAAGGGUGUUGAUGACUCCACAAAUAUAAAAGAAGAUAAUGAAAUUUGGGUAAGUGAAGAUUUCAAGAAGUAUGCACUCCGAAGUGGAUUUCAAGAAGUCCCAAUGAAUGAAGCAACCUUGACAUCGUUGGUGAGAAUGGCAAUGUCCAUGGGUAAUGGUGACAUGGCUUUUGAUAUGGUAAAGCAAACGAAACCACUGGGGAUAAAUCCUAGACUACGGUCUUAUGGUUCUGAACUUUUUACUUUCUGCAACAAUGGAGAUAUUGAGAAAGCAUUUGGUGUUGAAGAACGCAUGUUGGAGCAUGGUGUCUAUCUUGAAAAGCCAAGUUUUAUACCGAUUUUACUAGAACAAGAGCAACCUGAUGAACAAAUGUAUUCCCUUGCAGCCAUGCCAUCGUCCUUGACUGCACAAAAAUUUCUUCCAAAUGCAGUCCCCGUUGGUCAUUUCCUUGGAUUGAUGCACAUACCAUCUUCUAUUCAACUAGUAAACCAACAACUUGCACUAAAUUUGCCUACAACUGCCUGCCUUGGUGAAAAAUCACUUCCAUGUCACGAUGCCAAUGAUGCAGGGAGCUGCUAGGUUUCCUUCCUAGAUAGGCACCAAUGUCAAGGGGAUGGAAUGAUCCAUUUUUUGAGGCUGAUCGGCGAUAAAUAGCCAAACAAGCAACUGCCUUUAAGCGAGUACAUCCAAUAUUGCAUUUGCUUGCUAGUUCACUGCCAUCAACCCAAGUUGCUAGGUUGCUUACAAAUUAAUUCACAACUAGUGCACCGACUGCACCACAACAGACAUUUGCAUCAACUUCAUCUGGUAAUGGGUUCUCACUUUUUUGGUAUUUCAUCUUCUGCUCCAUCUAUCAUCCACCUACAUCCAAACUUCUGCCAAGUCACCUUUGUUGACCUCACAUGUAGACUGUACAAGUCUAUGGUUUGAGUUUGAGGCAAAGUUUUUCCGAAUUUGAUGAUUCAGAUUCAAAGGAAGGUUUCCUAACCGAUUCAUAGGAUGGUAGAGUGAACACAGUAGCACUCUGGGUUUCAUUCCUACAUGGUUAUCCCUCACCAUCUCUCUCACUUAUGCACAUAUGCAUGGCCACCUUUGGGUCACGUGUCACUCUUCCAUUUCUUCAUCCUUGCUUUUAAAAAAAAUAGUUUCCGAAACCCUAGUUUGCCAAUAAUUUUCCAAAUUCUAGUUUUUCAAAUAAUUUCAAUUCUUCAAAUUUUCAUUCUUAGAAUUUUUAGGUCCCAAAAGUCCCGUUUUUCAAUAAAAAUUUGCUGUCAUUUUCUUUGGUGGGGGCAAUUUUCACAUUUUCUUUUAUUUUUAAAAUGUUUUGAAAUAAACGUGGAUUUAAUUUCGUAAUUCCGAAUAAUGGAAAUUCAUAGGAUUAAUUCAUGCAAAAAUAAAUCGGGCUUUGGUGGGGGCAAUUUUCAUAUUUUCUUUGAUUUUAAAAUAAGCAUGAAUUUAUUUUUGUAAUUCCAAGUGAUGGAAUUUACAGAAUUGAUUCAUGCAAAAAUAAAUCAGGCUUUGGUGGGGGCCCAAUAUAUGUGAUUUUCUCAUUGAUUGAUUGCUAUACAUGACAGACUUAUUUCACUCUAUGACAUGCAUGCGAUUAUGUUGUGUUUGUUUACUAAUCUUUGUUUUCCAUGAAGAAAAUCAGCUCAUCACUCAGGUACAUUCUUGGCCUCUCUUGUUCAUUCGAUUAUUUUGUUUUGAUUGAUAUUCAUUCGGUAUCCAUAUUUGAUCAAUCAAUUGCCAUACUUGCUUCAUCUCAUCAGUAGAGACUCGUUUUUAGAGACUUAGAGGGGUGCUACGGUCUUUAUCGUACCUUCUCAAUAAGUAAGCUGACUCCCAAGCCCAGAUUUGGUUUUUCAUAGACCACCUUUUCCAAAAUAAAGAGUCACACUUAGGGUUUUCUUUCUUAUUUUGUUUACCCUUUUUAAAAAAUAAAUAAAUAAGUGACGACUCCAAGUCAUUUUAUAAAAAUAAAUCAUUUUUAAAUAAAAAGCAAGUUCUCCAUCAAGUGAAGACGCAUGAGCAGAAAUGCGAGGUCUACAAAAUGGCGACUCCACUAGGGAUCACUAAAGGGUCAAGCUUGAACUUAAGAUGAAGCAAAUGUGGUGUUUGAUUGGUCGAUCAAUAGGUACCCAUCUCUCUUUGUGCUUUUGUUUGCUUGACUACUGAUUGCACAUUGAGAGUUUUUUAUAUCAUUAUCCUGGAUACAUGUUUGGUUAUUGUGCUCAUUUGGGACAUUGACAUGUUGAUUAUGUUGAUUGAUUAUCUUGCUUGAGGAUUCUGAUGUAGCGAUUUUUCUAUGCUUCAUUGCUAUAUCUGUUUGGGACAUUGACAUGCUGAUUAUGUUGAUUGAUUAUUUUGCCUGUCUUAGCAUAGUGACUUUGAUUUUGCCAUGAUUGUUCUGCUCACCUCACAUGUAUAGACUUACUGUUGUAUAUCAUUUGACUUGAUGUGUUGAUUCUCUAGCUUGUAUAUUAUCUUGAUCAUCUUUGAGCAUGUUAUCUUUAUCACUAUUCAUCUUGAUUAUCAUAACUUGUAUGUGGACAUAAGUGAUAUAUAUGUACUUUGCUUGACUGUAUGGUGCAUGACUGCCCUCCUCUAUGUGAUUGCAGGUCGCUUAUUCAUGUGGGCCGCAUAUCUAUUCCCUUAUCUUCAACCCUCUGGUUUCAGUCAUCUCCUUCGUCUCGGCUCUUACUUUUGCAAGUGUGAGGCCUUGUGUGUACUUGUUUCUCUUACUGAGCUAGAGAUUAGGAGUAGGGACUAGCGAUGGGUUAUAUUGAUGGUUGGGAGCAUUCUGGAAGAGACCGACAUAUUGAUACUGAUUGAAGUCCUGAUCAUUGAAGACCUGUAUAGCCUAGAGCUAGGUUUCAUGGAUAUUUGUGCGAUCAAUAUGUUUCCUCUUUUGCUUUAGCUUCAUAGGAUUUUCGGAUGCACCCAUACCGCUCACUGUGCACUCUAGUUGACUAUUAAGUGUUGAGAGUUUCGCCAUAGGGAACUCCCUAGGAUGUCGAGGUAGUGCAUGUGUGGAGGUAAUGACCGCUUUGCAUGGAAGCGCCCUGUCUCUUCGGAGACGUGCAGAGGGUUGCGUACCGCCGGAAGGUAUGAUCGCUUCUACUAAAGAUCUUUUAAAGUCCACCCACAUCCUCUUAGAGCCACCUUGACCUUAUAGGUUAAGCCGUAGAUCCUUCGAUUAGGACUCAUUUCCUACACAUGGAUGCAUCUAAGGGACUUCAGAGCCUCUUUGGUCACGAUUUGGAUUCAGUACUCCCUCUUUUAGUCUCUAGUUGAAAAUGCACUGAGAUUAGUGCGAGUUUGAGUUAUAGUCAGACAGUCCGUCUACACUUUGAUGUUUUGCUCAUUUCAAUUCAGAUUAGCAUUUCUUCCGUGUUUUCCCUUGCCAUACCCUUAUUCCGUUUCUCAUGUUCCAGGAUCAACACUUUGUUCUCAGUCUAGAUUUACCAUCUUCUGUCAGAGUAGAGAGGAGAUUAGUUCGAUUUUCAGAGAGAUCAGACAUGGAUCAGCAGUUUGUCACAGUUGAUCAGUUAACGACCGUCAUGGCUUCUAUUCAAAAGGCCUUGGCCAGUCUCAGGCAGGAGAUAGGCAGUCAGCAGAGUAGACUACUCGUAGUUCAUACCGAGACGCCUUAUGACUCAUUGCCACCUCCACCACCACCUGUUUCGAUAGUGCCACAAGCCUCAUCUUAUCUAUUACAUGGUCAUUCUGAGAUUGCCCCGCCUGUAGUAGUACAGACCACAGUCAUUGAUGAUACUCAUGCACGUAUGGACCGUAUUGAGCAGCAUAUUGGAUAGUUGAGGGUAUCUGACAGUUCAACUAUUUGGGAUGAUCUUGAGGGUAUGCUAGUGGCCAGUUUACUGGCCAAGUUUAGGAUGUCCGACAUUGAGAGGUACACGAGCAUUGGUUGUCUUCACAUUCACCUGUAACUUUACAGCACGGUGAUGAGGGCUCAUGGGUUAGAUGAGUCACAUAUGAUCACCUUAUUCCCACUAUCUUUGAGUGGAGCGGCCCAGCGUUGGAUCGCAUCUUUGGAGUCCUCACGGCACAGGACAUGAGAUGACUUGGCCCAGGAGUUUUUGCUGCAGUUUUCAUUUAAUACUGUCAUAGAUGUGUCGAGAAGAGAGCUUAAGGUUCUGAGACAGAGAUCAGAUGAGUCUGUUUCUUCAUUCAUAUCCCGCUGGCGCGAGAAGAUAGCUGAGAUUAUGGAUACAGAUGGUUUUGAGGAGUCUAUAAUCUAGGAUCGCUAGACAUGUGGUCGGAGUGCCUUUCACAGACUUUGGCUAUCUGGUUUUGGCUCUAUAUGAUGUAGAGGAUGGUAUUUCGAGAGGAUUAUAGACAGAUUCUACCCAUAUUGAUGUUAAGGAAAAGAAACCAUCUGGAUAACAGAGAUCAGCUGAUGUGAGUGCUAUCAGUUCUACCAGUCAGAGGCCUCCCAGGCAUCAUCAGCCAGUUCCACAGCUUAUUAGGACUCACCUUUCUUAUGCACCUCAACAGUAUAGGCCAUGAGCACCUCAUCAAUCUUAUGAUCAGACUUACAUGCCACCCACCCUAGCACUACCUCAUUAUGCCGUGCAGGGCAUAAAGAGACCUCCUGCUUUAUAUCAUGCUCCAAUGCAGCCACUAUGCAACAUAGUUUGCCAUGAGACCCACAACAUCCUAUCUCAGGCCUAGAACUCAACAGACUUCUACUCUUUUUUCUUUGAGAACUCAGAGAUAGUUUUCACAGUUAGAUAUGUCGUUGAGCUAGGCUCUUUGGAAGCUCACAGGGGUCGGGUUGUUGAUGGCUCUCACUCCUAGGCCAUUGCUUCAGCUUGUCUCGCCUCAGUUUAGAAUGGAUCUACACUGUGCAUAUCAUCAAGGGCCAAGGCAUGAAACUAACCAUUGUACUGCUCUGAGACAUGCCAUUCAGGAUCCGAUUUAUUAGGGUUUGGUUCACUUGGAUCAGCCAAGUGUAACCACAAACCCAUUACCGGCCCACACUACACAUGCAGUUCCCUCUCCGAUCAAUGGCACACAUUUCCUUGACUUCGCUGAGCUUGACGAUCACAUCCACAUGUUGAGUUGGGAUGAGUCAAAGCCUGAGCCCAUAGUAUCAUAUGAGAUUUAUGAGAUAGACGAAGUGACCUUGAGCCCUCGGAUGCCCACACUAUUCAGACUAGUUCCUGAGGCGACAUCAGUACAGACAACCACUGUCGAGCCAUUGACUUUCCCACAUUACAACGUUCAGACGCCAUUCGUCUUGGUUCUAGAUGUUGAGGUGGUUCAGACUUGGUAUGUUAAUGUUUCUCAUACUCCCGAUGUACAGUAUAUUCUUUGUGGAGACAUGGUAUUAUGACAGCUGCUAGACUCUUGGAUGGGACAUCCGCUCCUGAGGAGGUCAGAAGAGAGGAUGAUGAGAUUCUGAGGCAAUUACAAAGCACACAGGCUCGUAUUUCUAUUUGGAAUUUGUUGGCAUCUUCCAACACUCAUAAAGAUGCAUUGACUAUAGCCUUGAGCCAGAUCAAAGUCGAGACUACCACUACUCCGGAGAGGUUGAUUCACAUGAUGAGGGCUGGUAGAGCCACUUGCAUAGUGUUUACUGUUGAUGACUUGCCUCCAAAGGGUUCGGACCAUACACGUCCACUGUAUAUCUCAAUCGGUUGUUCAGGCCACCGAGUCCCAUUUAUCCUUUUGGACAAUGGCUUAACCCUGAACAUUUGUCUUCUAGCCACUGCCAUCGCCCUUGGCUAUGCACCCUCUAACUUUGGUCCCUCCACUUAGACAGUCUAAGCAUAUGAUAGCACUAGGAGGGAGGUUAUGGGCACUUUGGAGAUUGAGUUGUUGAUAGGUCCGACCAUAUUUCCCCAUUUGUUCCAAGUUUUGAGGAUUCUUACAUCCUUUAACCUGUUAUUGGGUCGACCUUGGAUCCAUAGAGCUGGGGUCAUUCCUUCUUUCCUUCAUCAGAAGGUAAAGUUCAUUCAUGAUGGCCAGGUUGUCACUGUGCAGUCUGUCGGAGAUAUGUUUAUUUCUUCUGAACCAGUGCUUCAGAUCAGCCACAGUGAUGACGACCUAUUUCUGACUAGGUUCACAUUCAAUGAGGAGCAGACCCUGGAGAUGGAAGAUUUUUGCCAAGACUUCGUGGCUAUAUCGUUUGACUAGCAUGGUAGCAUAGUGGUACUCGACAUGAUGAAAAACAUGUCUUAUUUACCUAGCAUGGGGUUGGAGCGACGUCAGCACUGGCCCAACGAGUUUAUGGCUAUCCUAGAUCACGAUGUACCGUUCGGACUCGAGUUCUUUCUUACUAAGGUUGAUUAUCGAUAUAUGGCACGAUUGCGCAAGAAGAGGGUGAGGGCCCGAUUGACUGAUACACCCUUUGACUAUCUUGUUUACUCAUACACCAUGAGUUUGGCGGACUACUUUAUGAGGGCAUUGAAGCUACAGAAGCCUUCAGAUGGGAUCAUUGGGGGAUUUAGCACUGUUUAGGAGGCCAAGCUUCAACGUCUUGUCCAUAAGCUAUAGUUGAGUGAUGGAGCUCCAGGCAUUUCGGCGUCUGCAUUGGUCACCCUAUCAUCUUCAGAUCGUAUGAGCCUUAUAAAGCUCUAUUUCCCAGAUGAGAUCAAUGAGCACGGGACCUUUGUUGAGAUCGGAGAUGUAGUGGAUGGAGUUGUUCCACAUGACGAGUACAUUGAUGAGAUGCUCGUGCUGAGUAUGAGCCAGAUCAAUGAGAUAGUUCAGUCUGUUGCUGAUUUGUUUGAGGGCACUAUUGGCCCAGUUAAGGGAGCGUCUGACUUUGUGGAUCCACAUCUUUCAUUUGAUAUUUUAUCAGGAUUUGUCUCCCAUUUUGACGAUGUUCAUGACUCUUCAUUUAUGGAUUUGAGCAUUUUCGAGUAUAUGCUUGUCUUUUGUGAUAUUACUUUAUCCGCACCCUCUUUACCCACAUCACAAUAUUUGAUUUAGAUAAUGAGAUUGUACAGCAUGAUUCAGAUGAUGACUCAUCUUUUGCUUCUGAUUCAGGCCCCAUUUAUCAAAGAGUUUCACAUGUUAUAGGAGAUACUGAGGUUUUUGAUUUCGGUAUAGCAGAUCAGCCUAGGGAGCUGAGGAUUGGAGUGGAUUUAUCUACAGAUGAGAAAGAUAGCCUCAUCCAGCUGUUUAGAUCAUAUUUGGACGUUUUCGCAUGGUCUUAUGAGGACAUGUCAGGCCUUAAUCCAUCUAUCAUCCAACAGCGUUUUCCGUUUUUACCCCAUGUUAGAUCGGUUAAGCAAAAGUUGAGACGAUUACACCCUCCCUAGAGUUUAUAGGUGAAGGAGGAGAUUCAGAAGCAACUCAAUGUAGGAUUUUUAUCAGUGGUCGAGUAUCCCGAGUGGCUGGCCAAUGUCGUCCCUGUUCUAAAAAAAGACGACUAAGUGAAAGUUUAUGUUGAUUUUCGAGAUCUUAACAAGGCUAGUCCUAAGGAUGAUUUUCCUCUCCCACACAUUGACAUGCUAGUUGACAAUACGACAGGCCAUUCGAUGUUGUCCUUUAUGGAUGGUUUUUUUAGGUACAGUUAGAUUCUAAUGGCUCCCGAGGACAUGGAGAAGACGUCCUUCAUUACCGAGUGGGGUACUUAUUGCUAUAGAGUCAUGUCAUUCAGGUUAAAGAAUGCAAGAGCUACCUAUCAGAGAGCAUCGACCACCCUCUUCCAUGACAUGAUGCAUCGGGAUGUCGAGGUUUAUGUAGAGAUCAAAGGCUUCUUGGGUAGACUCCAGUACAUCAGCAAAUUCAUUGCCAGAUUGACAAACAUUUGUGAGCCCAUUUUCUGACUCUUAAGGAAGAGUCAACCUACUGUUUGGGAUGAUAAGUGCCAGUGCGCUUUUGAGAGGAUUAGAGAGUACUUGUUGUCACCUCCAGUCUUGGUGUCUCCUACAUCGGGCCAUCCUUUACUCCUAUAUCUGUCAAUCUCAUAUGUAGCCUUGGGAUGUAUGUUAGCUCAGCUCGAUGAUUCAAGAAAUGAGCAAGUCGUUUAUUAUAUGAGUAAGAGGAUACUAGAUUAUGAGAUGAGAUAUGUCAUGAUUGAACGCUACUAUUUGGCAUUGGUUUGGGCCACUCGCAAACUGAGACAUUACAUGACCAAGUAUCCAGUGCAUUUGAUAUCUUGUCUAGAUCCCUUGAGAUAUUUGUUUGACAAACCCGCUUUGGUCGGUCGCCUCAUUAGAUGGUUGGUACUUCUGAUUGAGUUUGACAUCCAUUAUGUCACUCAAAAGUCCAUCAGAUGGAGCAUUGUUGCAGAUCACCUAGCCUCAUUACCAGUUUCUGAUGGUAGAGCUAUUGAUGAUGAUUUCCCAGAUAAGGAUGUUGCUGUUGUGACCAGUCUGUCAGGUUGACGCAUGUACUUUGAUGGUACAACCAACCAUACUAGAUACAGGAGUGGUGUUUUAUUGAUACCCCAUCAUGGUGAUCACAUCCCUAAAUCUGUUCGUUUGGCAUUCUCGAAUCAACAUCCUGCCACAAAUAAUAUUGUUGAGGAUGAAGCCUGCAUCUUAGGAUUAGAGACAACUCUUGAGCUCGGUAUUAGACAGAUGGAGGUGUUUGGUGACUCCAACCUGAUAUUGAAAUAGAUUUAGGGCGAGUAGAAGACUAGAGAUGUGAAGCUUAGGCCUUACCACACAUACUUGGAGCUAUUAGUUGGGAGAUUUGAUGAUUUGAGAUAUACACAUCUACCUAGAGCACAGAACCAGUUCGUUGAUGCCCUGGCUACUCUAGCUUCCAUGAUUGAUAUUCUUACUGAUGCCAUUAUUCGCUCUUUACUGAUUGAGUCGAGAUUUGUUCUUGCAUAUUGUUGUCUGAUUGACGAGACAGAGUUAGAUGAUGGCUUACCUUGGUACCAUGACAUAUAUCACUUUUUGAGACUUGGAGCCUAUCCUGAGGCCUCCAUGGCCAAGGAUAAGAGAGCAUUGAGACAGUUAGUUGCUCGAUUUGUGGUGUGUGGGGAGACAUUAUACAGACGAUCAGUUGAUGGGAUGUUAUUAUUAUGCUUAGACCACGCAUCUGCAAAUCAAGUGAUGAGAGGGGUUCAUGCGGGAGUCUAUGGACCACAUAUGGGAGGGCAUAUGUUAGCUCAUAAGAUCAUGAGGACUGGCUAUUUCUAGUUGACCAUGGAGACAGAUUGCUGCCAGUUUGUCCAGAGACAUCUCGAGUGUCAGAUAUAUGGAGACCUCAUUCACGUGUCACCCUUAGAGUUACAUGCAUUGACUUCACCAUGGCCAUUUUCAGUAUGGGGUAUAGACAUCAUUGGGAAGAUUUCACCAAAGUCUUCUAAUGGUCAUGAGUUCAUCUUGGUCGCCAUUGAUUACUUCACCAAGUGGGUGGAGGCCGCCUCAUAUACGAGAUUGACAUCAAUUAGGGUUGCUAGUUUCAUCAAAUCACACAUUAUCUAUCGAUAUAGAGUCUCUCAUGAGCUGAUUUCAGAUAGAGGUGUACAUUUCAGGGCAGAGGUUGACACCUUGCUGCAAAGAUAUGGUAUCCAGCAUCAUACGUCAUUUGCAUACAGGUCGCAGACGAACGGGGUAGUAGAGGCCGCGAAUAAGAAUAUUAAGAAAAUCUUGCAAAAGAUGGUUGAGACUUCUCGGGAUUGGUCAGAAAAUCUCCACUUUGCAUUGUGGGCUUAUCGAACUUCUUUUCGCACCUCUACAAGAGCCACACCCUACUCCUUGGUGUAUGGUAUGGAAGCAGUGCAACCAGUUGAGAUUGAGAUGGGUUCAUUGAGGAUAACACUAGAGCAGCAUAUUUCAUAGGUAUAUUGGGCUCAGGUCCGAUUAGACCAGCUUAAUCUCAUAGAUGAGAGAAGAUUGAAGGCAGCAGACCAUGUUCAUGCAUAUUAGAGGAAGAUGGCCCGCACUUUCAAGAAAGAGGUCAAGCCUAGACCAUUACAGAUAGGUGAUUUAGUCUUGAAAGUCAUCAGAGGAUUGAUCAGAGAUCCUAGAGGAAAGUUCAGACCCAGUUGGAGCAAACCUUAUUUCAUUAGAGAGUUGACCCUAGAGGGCGCUGCAUGGUUGAUGGAUUUAAAUGGAAGCCAAUUCUCAGAGCUGACCAACGUGGAUCAACUAAAGAGAUACUAUGCUUGAGACCAUGGUUGCAUGAUGGGUGGCCAUCAUUUCGGUUAGCCAUACACCCUUUUACCAUUUUGAUAUAUAGACCGUUGCUAACCCAUUGAGCCUUGCAUGUGCAUUAUAACUUUUCUUUCUUAUUGCCUUGCUCACUUUUUGCACUGGGAUAAGAGCCCUUUAGUGUAUGUAUGCUCGGUUUAGGAGUUUCAUGAGCCUUGGACCUAUGGGCGCAUUUUUCUCAUUAUCUUUUCCUAACACUGUAUCACUACAUUUCAUCUCAUCUCAUUGGUUGUGUUCUUCAUCUUUUUCUUUGUUAUAUUAACUGCUUAUUCUGCAUCAUCACCUUCCAUCCCGAGUGGUAAUCCUUCUCAGUUCAUUACAUAAGAGGUAGUCAUGUCAUUCCCACUAUCUAUUUCACGGACAUUGAUCUAAGGAUCAUUAGUUUGAGCAGGUCAUCUUCUUAGAGAGAGUUUACGCUACUUUAACAUUUGAGAGUAUGAUUAUCCAUUUUUGACCUCAUCUUUGGAGCCUCUUUGUUUGCGUUUAGAGCAUGCACAUUUGUAUAUAUGUAAAAAAAAAUGAAAAAUAAUAAGCGCAUGCGUGUAGUAUUCUCCAUCAUUGAGCAUGUAUAUUGAUGUUCGAGGGUCAUUUUAUUGAGUAUGUUUUUACUGGAGUUCGUAUGCGAGCUUCCUGAGACCCUCCAUUUUAUGUAUUCAUUUUGUCGUAUAUUUUGAGAGUGAGAUGAGUGACUUUCUCUUAGGAGUUCUGGGUCAUUGGCUUUUCCAUCAUUACGUUCAUUGUUGAUGUGGCUUCCCUUCAUAUUUGAUUUGAGCGGAUCAUCACUACUUUUCAUGUUCUGCAUUUCACCAUUAUCCUCACUUUUGCUUUCGAUUCAUCAUCUUCAUUUUACCAUUUGUUCCUUCCUUACAACGACCCAUUCCAAGUUUGGUACUUCCUUUGCAUCAUCAUUACACAUCUCAGUAUCAGUUCGAUUUUCUGCAUUGCCUCAUUAUUAUCAUUAUAGCCACAUUGGGCAUCCUUAGGUCUAUGGCUCACGAGAUUUUCUAUACAUGUUGCAUUUUAUAUAUGAGGGCAUGGGUUUUCGAUCAUUGGGUAUUUGGGCCUAGUUUCCCUUCAUUUCUAUCACCUUAUCACCCUAGCCUACAUUACGUCCUGUGUUUUAAGACCACCCUGAGGCCAUGGGAUCAGAUUUCGUCUUCGACAACCCCCUCUUUGAUAGGUGCUUGAGAUUUGAUUGAUAUUUGGAUAUCGUCAUGCUUCUUCUUUUAGGAGACACCUCUUUGAUGUUUGGAUCUGAUUUAGCUGUGGAUUUGGAUUACUGGGAUCACAUGUUUGAUGAUGGAUGAUUUGACGUCACCUGAUUUUCUGAUCUAUCAUACGUUCGAGGCCAUACCGGGGCAUAUUCCGUUUCGGAUAAGAUUUACAUAUCUUCAUGGAGUUGCAUGCUCAUCCCCACUUAUGAGAUACACGCCGAGACGAUGACAUGUUUGUUAUCUUAUCAUGAUCCUCUAGUGAAGCCUUUCUUAAGCCAUUCAGUUAGACCCACACUUUUCGAUCUUUAGAUGUCAUCAUACUUCUUCUUCCGGGAGACGGAUUUUGACCUGUGGAUUUGAUUCAAUUGCGGAUUUAGAUUACUGGGAUCACGCAUUUGAUGAUGGAUGCUUCGAGGUCAUUCAAUUUUCUAACCUACCAAAUAUCUGAUUCCAUACUGGGGCAUAUUUCCUUUUCGAUUGAGAUCUGUAGGUCUCCAUGGAUUCGCAUGAUCAUUCCCAGUUACGAGAUACACAAUGUGCUAAGGAUUCGUUUUCAUUUUUUUCUUGAUUCUCCAUUGAAGCCUUCCUUUAGUCAUUCGGUUAAGCUCAUACUUUCUGAUAUUGUCAUGAAUUUUAGAUGGAUUUAUCUCAGGUGUGUAGAUUUCCACAUCAUCAUUUUAGGGGAGUAAAUGUCAGAUCUUUUAUACAUCUCCAUUGAGUUAUUCUCGAGUCAUCAUGACGAACUGGAUGCGCUAGUUGCUAUAUUGGGGCAUAUUUCCACCUUUUAGCUAUAGAGAUGAUUGUUUUAUCACAGGCCUAAUACAGUCUUCAAUACUCGGUCGAUGGAUACUUAUUUGCAUUAAUGGUCACUGUUUCGAUGAUUUUUUAAUUGAAAUGAGCUUUCAGCGGAGUGCGACAUUUGGGUUUUGAUCGUCCCACUAUCCAUGACUCUUCAGUAGAUUGUUAUGUUGAGAUUGUGGUAGUUACCCUAGCGAACUAUUCUCUUGAGACCCCCUAGUGGAUCAUUCAUUUGAGAUGAUGAUGGAUUUCCCCAAUAGAGCAUUUUGAGUUAGAGGAGUUUGACUUAUUGUGACACUUUAUCAGACCUUGUGACCUAGUCAGAUGGGUUUUGAGACUAUAUUUAUAGUCAAUUUGACCAUUCCGACUCGCUAGCGGAGCAUCUUUUGAGACUCAUGGAGUCUCUUUUAGACCCUUCUAGUGGAUUGAGAGUUGUGGCAGCACACUACACUGGGGCAUAUUUCCCUCUCAUCGUCUCCUCGCAUUUUUAGCUCGACGUUCAAAGCCACCAUGUCUUCUCAGUUAUAACGUUCAGAUUCGUCUCUCUCAGCUGGACAUUCAUAGAUAUCAGUUCACAGUUGGGCGUUCAGAGCCACCAUCUCAUUACAGUUUGGCGUUUAGAGCCGUUGUUUCCACUUGGCAUUCAGAGUCGUUGUUUCCACUUGGCAUUCAUAGCCAUUGUUUUAGCUUGGCAUUUAGAGUCACCCCAUCAUCUCCUCAUAGGUCUUAGCGUUCAGAGCCACUACCUCUUUCUUAGUUUCGGCGUUCAGAGCCACCAUCUCUUCUCAAUUUUGGCAUUCAAAGCCACCAUCCCUUCUCAUUUUUGGUGUUUAGAGCUGUUUUUUGUUUAUAGUUCGACAUUCAUAGCCAUCGUACCUCUUUUUCAAUUUGGCAUUCAGAGCUGCAUCUUCAUUUUGGCGUUCAAAGCCACCGAGACUUUUUAGUUUGGCAUUCAGAACCACCAUCUUUUUUUCGAUUUGGCAUUCAGAGCCGCAUCUUCAUUUUGGUGUCUAGAGCCGUUGUUUGCUUCUAGUUCAUCAUUCAUAGCCAUCAUACCUCUUUUUCAGUUUGGUGUUUAGAGCCGCAUAUUCAUUUUGGCGUUUAGAGCCGUUGUUUGUUUCUUGUUUGACAUUCAGAGUCAUCAUCUCUUCUUUCCGUUCGACGUUCAGAGUUGCAUCUUCAUCUCGACAUUCAAAACCAUAUCUUCAGUUUGGCGUUCAAAGCCGUUGUUUGUCUUUGGUUCGACGUCCAGAGCCGUAUUUUCUGUUUGGCGUUCAGAGUCGUUGUUCAUUUUAGUUCGGCAUUCAGAGCCACACCUUCAGUUCAGCGUUUAGAACAGUAUUUUAUGUUUGGCGUCCAGAGUCAUUGUUCAUUUUCAGUUUGGCGUUCAAGGCCGUCGUUUUUUUUUUUUAGUUCGACGUUCAGAGUCAUCAUGUCUUUCUUCUAUUCACUAUUCAGAGUCACAUCUUCAUCUUGGUGUUUAGAGUCACGUUUCCAGUUAGGCUUUUAAACCCGCAUCUUCUGUUUGGCGUUCAGAGCCAUGUCAUCAGUUUAGCAUUUAGAGCCAUUAUUCAUUAUUGACAUUCAGAUCCGUUGUUUCGUUUGGCAUUCAGUGCCACCAUCUUUCUUUAGUUUUGGCGUUCAAAGCCAUUAUGCAUACUCAUUGAGGCAUUUGAUACCACCAUCAUUCUUUAGUUUUGGCGUUUAGAGCCAUUGUGUAUACUCGUUUAGGCUUUUAGAGUCACCAUUCUUUCCUCCAUUUUGGCAUUCAAAGUCAUUUUCCUUACCUUGUUACUUUGUCCUUAUUGCUUGUUCAUCAUGCUCUUCUAGACUUCCCAUUCCACUACACAUGACAUAGUCAUUUGAGUUCGAGACACAUAUUUCGGCCAUGUUGUUGGGCACCCUACACUUAGCAUUCUUAUGUAGUUCACAUAGGGUAGUCCCAUUUGACGCAUUCUUUCUUGUACUCUAGGGUGGUUCGACCGCUACUCAUCUUUGACAUUGACUUUCGAGUCACUUUUGGAGAUGUCUUAGAGGGAGUCUAGGUCAUUGGUACAACUUUAGAGGCGCUUUGAGAUAUACUUUUCUCAUAUGAUUAGAGUUUUUUUGUUCAUCUGUUGGCCUGAGUGAGUUCAUGUUUUUCUAGUGUCCCUUUAGGGGUCUCCUUGAUUCUUCGGUAGAGUUCAUUUCAUUCCACCCACUAUUCACAUUUUAUUUUCACUACAGUGUUCAUAUUCCUUACACUUGUGAGCUUUACCGAAGAAGGGCAUAUUUGUAUACCCCGAUUUUGGGGCUCAUUUGUAGCAGUUUAUCUUUCCAGGUAGAGGGCUCUUAAGGAGCCACGUGUUGCCUCAAGAGAGGCUAUUAAAUAAUCAUAUUAGUGAGUAGAGAAUGCAAUGGGGAAAAGACAAGUGUUGAGGGAAUGUUCUAGGGAGAGCAUAUUCUUUUAGAUAGGGACAAUGAGGCUAUUAGAGAGGGAGAGGUGAUUUGGUUGUUGCUUACAGAGAUGUUUUAGGAUAAAGGGAGAAGGGGGAGAAGGGAAGAGAACCUGAGGAGAAAGAUAGUUAAAACAGAAAGGCAAUGAGCUAUAGGAAGAAAGAAGGUUGCAAGGUUGAUAGCUUGAGGAGCAAACUGGUUUGGGAGGAAGGACUGAGAGAAACAAGUCGGGUAUUCUAGAGAUAGUGGGUAUAAGAGGAUAGCUAGACGUUGCUUGAGGAAGGAAAAGAAAACUUGAAAGAAUUUUUUCUAGGUUCGUUUGUUGUAGCUUCUUGGAUUGCUUUUACUCAUCACUCUGUUUUCUUAUAUCUUUCAUUCUCUCUGGUUGUCUCUGGAUUUCUAAGCAUCGAUCAAUUGUUUGGGCAUGGGUAUGAUGUUGUAUUACACUUUUCUCAUAUUUGUUUAUCUGAAUAUGGCUCACUCUCAUAGUAGGAGUUUGUUGAUGCUUUCAUUUUGAUAUUUGUUAUGAACUAUCUUACUGCACCACUGGUCGACGAACCCUUGGAUUUCAAUAUGAAAAGGGAUCCCAUUUAAUGUUCUACUCACUCUGUUUACUUGGUUCUGGGUAAGUUGUAUCCUGUUUUGCACACUUCUUUACUCCCGGUACCUCAAUUCAUAUCCCCUUUUAUGGCUUAUAUAUCUUCGGAUUUGCUCUAAACGAUUGGUUGUGUGUUUUGAUCUGUGCUUGAGGAGAGAGGGUUGUGUGUUGGCUUACUACUCCAGAUCCGUGACCCCAAUAGAUGAGAUGUAUACAUGUGUUAUAUUAGCUGCUAUUUUGGCUAUUGGGUUUGCCACUAAUGCAUUUGGGAUCCAAGUUCUAUGUAAUUGGUUUUUCCAUGGGUGGACAGGUGAUUUGGAGUUGCCUCAAGUAUAUCCUUCACAAGUUGGCAAGUGCAACACUGAUAGCUCCAAUGGUCAACUACUUUUGGCCUAGUUUUCCUCCAAACUUAUCUAAAGAAGCCUACUACCAAUAGUUUUGACAGGAUCAGUGGGCGCUUCGUGUUGCUCACUACACACCAUGGCUUACCUACUGGUGGAACACUCAAAAGUGGUUUCCUGCUUGUAGUGUUGCAGAACACACCACUGAUAUUAUUUCUCACCAAGACAAAAAGCUCAUGCUUAAGCUUUCAAAGAAAAUGGAAUAUAUGGCACAUGUGAGACAACAAGAAGAAUUUGAGUCUACCCAUCGUGACUUGAUGAUAGGAUUUAGAACUUGGGAAUUUGAUCCCAUGGAUCUGAAGAACCCAUUCCCAAAUAAUGAAGGUUCUGUCCACCUAUGGCAUGGAGAUGAAUAUGCAAUUAUGCUUGUUUCACUGCAACGCUACAUUGCCCAACAACUCCCAUGGAUCAUAUUUGUAGAUAUCCAUCUGCUUGAAUAGCUCAAUGGGUAGAGACCUCUGUUGAAUCUUCCUCUUUAGGUAGAACCUCACAAGCUCCUCAUCUAUGGGAUGAAACCUGAAGCCAUGCAGCAUGACAUCAUCCAUUUUAUCAGCAUCAUUCCUCUCAUCCAUCAUCCCUCUUUUUCCCUGAUUUCCUCAAACUCGACUAGGAAUUAGAAUCAAUGAACUCUCUAAGGUGAUAUGGUAGUGAGCUUUUUGGAAAACUAACACCAACCCAUCAAUGGAAAUUACAAUUCACUUAAUUCAAAGCCACUAUAUGCCUCUUGAUAAGGAGCUUGACUGUGCAGCUUGAGCCGGGUUUUAUGGUGGUUGUAGUGUUUAUCAGCAAAUAUCACGAUGACUUGGUGAUGAGAACAGUUGAAGGAAAGCUUUGUGAAGAACAUCUAGUUACAAGAGAGAAGUAUUCAAAGAAGAGGUUAGAUUCAAGAAAAAACGAAGGAAUGAGUCCCAAGUUUCCUUCCUUGAAGCUUGAAAGUAAAAAUCUAGUGGACGAAUCUUUGAAAGCUAAUGAAAAUGAAGAAAAAAAAUCCAAGAAAGGUGAUGGUGAUAAGGUGAGAGAGGGGAUGGAGAAAGGAUCUAAGAAAAAUGAGGUGGAUUCUCAGAAAGGGUUGUUAAGAGUUGGACUAGACAUGUGCUAAAAAAAAUGGGGAUGUUAUGGGUGCGCUUGAUCUGUAUGAUUUGGCUAUAAGGAAAGGAAUUGAAUUAGGGCAGUAUCACUACAUUGUUCUUUUGUAUCUUUGUUCUUUAGCAGCACUUGGUGUUAUUCGACUUGCAAAAAGUGGAAUUGGUAGCCGGAGUUUGGACAUGUUGAGCCCUUCUAGUGAAGUUUGUGGUGGGGUUUCUGAGGAUUUGGUAGAAUUUGGGGACACGAGCAAGAAGAAUUCUGAAGCAUUUGAAGUAGAAAAAGAUGAUUUGGAUGGUAGUUUCAUUAAAAUGGACAAGUUAUCCUAGGUCUUUAAUUGCUUUAAUCAGUCAAAUAGUCAACUUUUGGAAGGUCAAAAGCAUUUAAGAAAGAGUGCUGAUGACUCCACAAAUAUAAAAGAAGAUAAUGAAAUUUGGGUAAGUGAAGAUUUCAAGAAGUAUGCACUCCGGAGUCGAUUUGAAAUCUAUGAGAAGAUGUGUUUGGAAAGGGUCCCAAUGAAUGAAGCAAACCUUGACAUCGGUGGUGAGAAUGACAAUAUCCAUGGGUAAUGGUGACAUCGCUUUUGAUAUGGUAAAGCAAACGAAACCACUAGGGAUAAAUCCUAGAUUGUGGUCUUAUGGUUCUGUACUUUCUGCUUUCUGUAACAAUGGAGAUAUUAAGAAAGCAUUUGGUGCUGAAGAACGCAUGUUGGAGCAUGGUGUCUAUCCUAAAAAGCCAAGUUAUAUGCCAAGUUUACUAUAACAAAAGCAACCUGAUGAACAGAUGUCUUCCCUUGUAGCCAUGCCAUCGUCCUUGGCUGCACAGAAAUUUCUUCCAAAUGUAGUCUCUGUUGGUCUUUUCCUAGGAUCGAUGCACAUACCAUCUUUUGUUCAACUAGCAAACCAAUAACCUGCACUGCAUUUGCCUACAACUAUCGGCCUUGGUGAAAAAUCACCCCCAUGUCACAAUGCCAAUGAUGCAGGGAGUUGCUAGGUUUCGUUCCCAGAUGGGCACCAAUGUCAAGGGGAUAGAAUGAUCCAUUUUUUUAGGCUGACCGGCGAUAAAUAGCCAAACAAGCAGCUGCCUCUAAGCGAGUACAUCCAGCAUUGCAUUUGCUUGCCAAUUCACUUCCAUCAGCCCAAGUUGUUGGGUUGCUUACAAAUUCAUUCACAAUUGGUGCACUGACUGCACCAUAAUAGACAUUUGCUCAACUUCAUCUGGUAGUGGGUUCUCACUUUUUUGGUAUUUCAUCUUCUGCUCCAUAUGUCAUCCGCCUGCAUCCAAACUUCUACCAAGUCACCUUUGUUGACCCCACAUGUAGACUAUACAAGUCUAUGGUUUGAGUUUGAGGCAAAUUUUUUUCGAAUUUGAUGAUUCUGAUUCAGAGGAAGGUCUCCUAACCGAUUCAUAGGAUGGCAAAGUUGACACAGUAGCACUUCGAGUUUCAUUCCUGCAUGGUUAUCCCUCACCAUCUCUCCCACUUAUGCACAUAUGCAUGGCCACUUUUGGGCCACGUGUCACUCUUCCAUUUCUUCAUCCUUGCUUUUUUAAAAAAUAGUUUCUCAAACCCCAGUUUGCCAAUAAUUUUCCAAAUUCUAGUUUUUCAAAUAAUUUUAAUUCUUCAAAUUUUAAUUCUUAGAAUUUUUAGGUCCCAAAAGUCCCGUUUUUCAAUAUAAAUUUGUUGCCAUUUUCUUUGAUGGGGGAAAUUUUCACAUUUUCUUUUAUUUUUAAAAUGUUUUGAAAUAAACAUGGAUUUAAUUCCGAAUAAUGGAUAUUCAUGGGAUUAAUUCAUGCAAAAAUAAGUCGGGCUUUGGAGGAGGCAAUUUUCACAUUUUCUUUUAUUUUAAAAAUAUUUUAAAAUAAGCAUGAAUUUCUUUUUUUUUUUUUUUAAUUCCAAGUGAUGGAAUUUAUGGAAUUGAUUCAUGCAAAAAUAAAUCAGGCUUUGGUGGGGGUCCAAUUUAUGUGAUUUUCUCAUUGAUUGAUUGCUAUGCAUGAUUGACUUAUUCCACUCUAUGACAUGCAUAUGAUUAUGCUGUGUUUGUUUACUAAUCCUUAUUUUCCAUGAAGAAAAUCAACUCAUCACUCAGGUACACUCUUUCCCUCUCUUGUUCAUUCCGUUAUUAUGUUUUGAUUGAUAUUCAUUCGGUAUCCAUAUUUGAUCAAUCAAUUGUCAUACUUGCUUCAUCUCAUAAGUAGAGACCCGUUUUUAGGGACUUAGAGGGGUGCUACGGUCUUUACCGUACUUUCCUAAUAAGUAACCUAACCCCCGAGCCUAGAUUUGUUUUUUCACAGACCACCUUUUCCAAAAUAAAGAGUCACACUUAAGGUUUUCUUUCUUAUUUUGUUUACCCUUUAAAUAUAAAACAAAAAUAAGUGGCGACUCCAAGUCAUUUUCUAAAAAAUAAAUCAUUUUUAAAUAAAAAAUGAGUUCGUCAUCGAGUGAAAAUGCAUAAGCAAAAAUGCGGGGUCCACAAAAUGGUGACUCCACUAGGGAUCACUAGAAGGAUUUAAUUCCGAAUAAUGGAAAUCCAUGGGAUUAAUUCAUGCAAAAAUUAAUCGGGCUUUGGUGGGGACAAUUUUCACAUUUUCUUUGAUUUUAAAAAUAUUUUAAAAUAAGCAUGAAUUUAUUUUUGUAAUUCCAAGUGAUGGAAUUUACGGAAUUGAUUCAUGCAAAAAUAAAUCAGGCUUUGGUGGGGGCCCAAUAUAUGUGAUUUUCUCAUUGAUUGAUUGCUAUCAUGAUUGACUUAUUCCACUCUAUGACAUGCAUGCGAUUAUGUUGUGUUUGUUUACUAAUUUUUGUUUUCUAUGAAGAAAAUCAGCUCAUCACUCAGAUACACUCUUUGCCUCUCUUGUUCAUUCGGUUAUUUUGUUUUGAUUAAUAUUCAUUCGGUAUCCAUAUUUGAUCAUACUGUUUGCAGGGACUUAGAGGGGUGCUACGGUCUUUAUCGUAUUUUCCCAAUAAGUAAACUGAUCCCCGAGCCUGGAUUUGGUUUUUCAAAUAUCACCUUUUCCAAAAUAAAGAGUCACACUUAUGGUUUUCUUUCUUAUUUUGUUUAUCCUUUAAAAAUAAAACAAAAAUAAGUGGCGACUCCAAGUCAUUUUCUAAAAAAUAAAUUAUUUUUAAAUAAAAAGUGAGUUCACCAUCAAGUGGAAACGCAUGAGCAGAAAUGUAGGGUCCAUAAACAUGUUUGAUUUUUAAAUAAUAAUAAUAAUAAUAAUAAUAAUAAUUAUUAUUAUUAUUAUUGGAAAAUGGUGUAUUUUUUUCCAAAUCACUAAAUUAAAUUAAAUUUUAUUGAGAUUUACAAAAGGAAUAAAAUUUAAAUUAAUGUUUUUCUACUCUUUUUUUUUUUUUCAUAGUCAAUAAAAGUCAUUUUUGGAAAUAUAAAAAAUUCAUAUCCUUGUUCUCAAUUUUCACACUUUAUCUAAGUCUUGGGCUUAAAUGGUGAAUUAGGUCUCAUUUUCACACCAAAACUUAAUUUUUUGGUCCAAAUAGGUCAAAAACACCAUUUUUCCCAUAUUAUAUUGGGAAGCACAGUCUGCUUUAAUUAAAUUUUCUUAGGACAAUGAUUCUUAAGAGUAUGGCUCAAUCUUUGACUGAGAUGUGUUUGUUUACUAAUUUUUGUUUUCCAUGAAGAAAAUCAGUUCAUCACUCAAGUACUCUUUGCCUCUCUUGUUCAUUCGAUUAUUUUGUUUUGAUUGAUAUUCAUUCGGUAUCCAUAUUUGAUUAGACUGUUUGCAAGGACUUAGAGAGGUGUUACGGUCUUUACCGUACUUUCCCAAUAAGUAACCUGAUCCCCGAGCCCGGAUUUGGUUUUUCAAAUACCACCUUUUCCAAAAUAAAGAGUCACACUUAGAGUUUUCUUUUUUAUUUUGUUUACCCUUUAAAAAUAAAACAAAAAUAAGUAGUGACUCCAAGUCAUUUUCUAAAAAAUAAAUUAUUUUUAAAUAAAAAGUGAGUUCGCCAUCAAGUGGAACCGCAUGAGUAGAAAUGUAGGGUCCAUAAAGAUGUUUGAUUUUUAAAUAAUAAUAAUAAUAAUAAUUUUUUUUUUUUUUUUUUUGGAAAAUGGUGUAUUUUUUUCCAAAUCACUAAAUUAAAUUAAAUUUUAUUGAGAUUUUCAAAAGGAAUAAAAUUUAAAUUAAUGUUUUUCUACUCUUUUUUUUUUUUAUAGUCAAUAAAAGUCAUUUUUGGAAAUAUAAAAAAUUCAUAUCCUUGUUCUUAAUUUUCACACUUUAUCUAAGUCUUGGGCUUAAAUGAUGAAUUAGGUCUCAUUUUCACACCAAAACUUAAUUUUUUGGUCCAAAUAGGUCAAAAACACCAUUUUCCCAUUUUAUAUUGGGAAACAUAGUCUGCUUUAAUUAAAUUUUCUUAGGACAACGAUUCUUAAGAGUAUUUCUCAAUCUUUGACUGAGAUGUGUUUGUUUACUAAUCUUUGUUUUCCAUGAAGAAAAUCAGCUCAUCACUCAGAUACACUCUUUGCCUCUCUUGUUCAUUUGAUUAUUUUGUUUUGAUUGAUAUUCAUUCGGUAUCCAUAUUUGAUCAGACUGUUUGCAGGGACUUAGAGGGGCAUUAUGGUCUUUACCGUACUUUCCCAAUAAGUAACCUGAUCCUCGAGCCCGGAUUUGGUUUUUCAAAUACCACCUUGUCCAAAAUAAAGAGUCACACUUAGAGUUUUCUUUUUUAUUUUGUUUACCCUUUAAAAAUAAAACAAAAAUAAGUGGCGACUCCAAGUCAUUUUCUAAAAAAUAACUUAUUUUUAAAUAAAAAGUGAGUUCGCCAUCAAGUGGAAACGCAUGAGCAAAAAUGUAGGGUCCAUAAAGAUGUUUGACUUUUAAAUAAUAAUAAUAAUAAUAAAUUUUUUUUUUGGAAAAUGGUGUAUUUUUUUCCAAAAUCACUAAAUUAAAUUAAAUUUUAUUGAGAUUUACAAAAGGAAUAAAAUUUAAAUUAAUGUUUUUCCACUCUCUUUUUUUUCAUAGUCAAGAAAAGUCAUUUUCGGAAAUAUAAAAAAUUCAUAUCCUUAUUCUCAAUUUUCACACUUUAUUUAAGUCUUGGGUUUAAAUGGUGAAUUAGGUUUCAUUUUCACACCAAAACUUAAGUUUUUGUUCCAAAUAGGUCAAAAACACCAUUUUCCCAUUUUAUAUUGGGAAGCACAGUAUGCUUUAAUUAAAUUUUCUUAGGACAAUGAUUCUUAAGAGUAUGGCUCAAUCUUUGACUGAGCUUGAACAAAAUCCUUCAACUUGCAGCCACACUGAGUUCCUAAUUCCGAUAGGAUUGGCAUGCAUGGAAACAUGAGCAAGUAGUGAAGUAAACCACGUACGGGUCUUCUUCAAUAUGGAGAGAAAUGUUUUAUUAAUUUCUUGGAACCCUUUCCCACAAGUAACUUAAAGGGAGUAGCUAAAAUAUUAGUUCAAUUUUUUUUUUGUCUGAUGCUGUUUUAGAAUAAUGGCCUUUACACCAGGCUAGGGUAAGGAAUAUUUUUGCACUAUCAUUCUUCUGAGGAAGUUCUAUAGAUAUGGUAGGAUGUGGAUGUAUAAAGAUACGUGGGACCUGACUUUCAGCAGAGAUUCAUGCACAAGGAUAGCCUUCUUUGAGUAGAAAGCAAGCAAAUUAAACAAAGUACAGGAAAAUCCAUUUCUUCAUUUUUCUCUUCUGCCAAGCAAGCAUAUAUUCCCAACAAAAACAACCCCUACACACCUCUCUAAAAUAUCUUCAUUCGUCAGUUGAAAUGCAACAAUUUAUUAUAAACUAGAGGCCAAGGAAUCAUCUUUAACUCGUAUCAAACUGUUUGCAGUACCCACUUUAUGGCCACCCCACUUUUGCCCCGUUUUCCUUUUCCCUAUUAUGGCCUCUACUGUCUCAAGCAGCUGCUUUUAUGGCUAUCUCCCAAGUGUAUUUAUGGAGGGUCGCUGAAGCAGACAACAUUCUCAGUUGAAGUUGGUGCUGCUUUGUUGCUAUGGACCCAAGAAAACACUCUACUAGAAUGUUCAAUAUAGUUGUGUUCAUCUUCAUUUCAGUCACCACCCUGAUUAUAAGUACCCCAUGUGGUAAUUAAACAUAUUUUCCUUUCAAUUUUAGUGCAUGUUUAAUUUACUAAUUAAUGUUGAUGAGUAUGUUAUAAGUUUUGUUUCUUCUGGUGCAGAUGCAAGAAGUUCAGCACAAAUGUUGGAGGUUGAAGGUGAGGAGUUUGGUGAAAGUUCAGUCACUGGGGGGAGGAAGAUGCAACAAGUAGCAGUAAACUUGGAGAAUACUGACUCAUACAUAAGCUCUCCAUUUUCUCUACCACCUUUUGAUUCAUUGUCACCACUUCCCUCACCAGAGACAGCCCCUCCCUUUUGUGUUUGCCCACCAUUUUCCCCACAGCCACCUUCCAUACCCACUACUCCACCCAUAUUCCAAGGCCCUCCUACACAUUCCCCAGUUCCAAAUCCUCCUGAAUAUGAGCUGCCUAGUCCCCCCAAGCAUGCGCCAAGCUCACCGAAGCGCGCUCCGAGCCCGCCAGUCUUUAAGCCUCCGGUGGUUCUACCACCACCAUCUACACCGCCUCCACUACAUAAGGCACCCCAGUAUGCUGUUUGGUGUGUCGCAAAGCCGACGGUGCCUGAUCCCAUAAUUCAGGAGGCCAUGGACUAUGCCUGCGGAAAAGGUGCAGACUGUGAAGCAAUUAAGCCCGACGGGUUAUGCUUCCAACCCAAUACAUUGUUUGCGCAUGCUUCAUAUGCUUUCAAUAGUUACUGGCAGAGGACUAAGGUGGCUGGUGGCACCUGCGACUUUGGAGGAACUGCAAUGCUUGUUACAGUUAAUCCAAGUAAGUUCAACUACUGCCUUCAUCUUAUGAGUACUAGCCUUAAGUCCCAACAAUUCCAUUCAAUACUCAUGAUUUUCUUGGGUAGACAUGAUUCUAAGUUGGGUCAGCUAUGGAACCAAAAGGCGUCUCCUCUGUGUCACACCAAAAACACAAGAUCAAUCGAGUAGUCCUAUAUAUAUGUGUCUUAAUUAUUAUUAUUUUUUACUUUAAUCUUAUUUGUUCCUAAUUAACUUAAUUUGGUCUAUAUUUUGUAUCAUUAUUUAAUGGAUCAAAUUUCACUAUACACUUUAAACGACCCAAAUAAAAAGUUAGAAUGAUAUAACAUUUUUUUUCUUUCGACUUUUUUGGAUUAGCAAGUUAAAUUUGAGGGUCCAACUGUAACAUCAGAGAGGUACCCAUCCAAAAGCGUAGUCAGUCAUAUCAUAUCAUAUCAUACUGUAUUUAAGUCUUAUUGUUAUGUAUCUGGAUCUCACUCAAUCAUAUUUAAUCACAUUCUUUAUGUCUUAAUCUCAUUAUUUGUACCUUCAUUUAAUAAUUUAAAUUAUUUUACUUACUUUUAAUGAUAAAAAUUAAGAGUUAAAUUGGGGUGACUUUUUUUUCGAAGCACAAGCCCAGCUCAUACAAUUUUAAGUAUGUAGUUUGAUUUGAGUCUGAUCUUUGAUAUAUAAUGCCUUGUUGCAGGUUUUGAUGAAUGCCAUUUUGUCUACAAUUGAUGAGUAGUGGUGAAGACAAUGCCUGAUUCCAGAGGGUAUAUGAAUAAUGCAAUAAAAUAGGUGUGUGGGUGGUUGUCAUGGUUUUUGCAGCCAAACAUGUAAAAGUAUUUUGAUAGAUGGAUUCAGUUUGGAUUUUGGAAUAUAGGAUCCCUACGCAACAUCUACUUAUUCUCUUGCCUUAAUUUUGUAAUCUAAAUUAUUACAUAAUACAUGAUGUUGAUGGUUAAGCUGGAUCUUAAUACAAUAAUUUAUUUAUUUUUUUGAGAAUUUAUUUGGACCUAUGUUAUAUACCAUCACCUUAUUUUAUCAAUUUUUUUUAAAAUAUAAAAUAAUAUAUUGGUGAAAUUACCCUCUUACCAGUUUGUUCAACGUGCCUACAACUACCCAAAAUUCUAACCUUAUUUUCACUUCAAGUUUAGUUCAUUUUCCUUGGGAAGAGGGCAAAAAGGUCAUUUCACAUAACUUUUAAUAUUAGAAAAUUAAAAACAAAUUCUCCUCGAUUAACCUUUCUAAACCCCAUGAAAUGACCUAAAAUAAUAAAUAAUGCUCUCUUUCACCCAUUUUGGUUAUUAAAAAAGGAAAAAAUAUAUAUUAAAGAAACAAUUCAAUUUUAUUAUGAAAAAUAAUAAAAAUAAAUAUAAUUAAAAUUAAUUAUAAAUUUAUGUAUUAUUAUUUAAUUUUCACAUAAAAAAAAUAAAAAAAAUGAAAUGAAUUUGAGAUAAUAUAUAAAAAUAAUUCUUUUACGUACCAGUAAGUUUGAUAAUUUACAUUUAUUAUUGGAUUUAUAAUUAUAAUUAUUAUGAUUAAUAGUCAAAGGUUCUUUUAAUCAAAUUUUAGUUAUUAUGAAAUAAGAUUAAGGUGCUAAUGAUUUAAAUCAAAUUAAGGUUUUUUAUAACAAUUUGUAAUAUAGUAUUUAUUGGUACACUUAGGCUUAAAAAGUUGAUUUUAUUAAGAAAAUGAAUAAAUCUUUGUUUUAAUUCAAAGUCUUCAAUUAUAAAUGAGUUUACAUAUUCCUUCUCUUAAUAUUUUUAAUUUAUGAUUACACUGCUUCUCUUAUUUAUUUAUUUAUUGUUUAAAAAAAAUUAACACCCAAUUUACGCAUGGGGGUGAUUUACUUAAUCAAAUUAAUUGUUUGUCAUAAUUAUUAUUAUUUUGGGAAAUAAUCAUGUGAUUGUAUAUGCACUCUAUCUUUAUACAAGAAAUUAGAUUUUUCAUAUCAUGAUCCCAUUUUGUGGCAUCUAAAUUCUAUAUUUUUUUAUAUUGUUAUUUAAUAAUUUAGAUUAAUUAGUUAUGCAUGUUAAGAAAUUGAAUUAAAGACGUUGAAUAUGAUAUAAAAAGCCACAAUACAAUAUUUCUUGUCCCACAAAUUUAAUAGAAAUCUUUUCUUUCCAUGAACUUUUUAAGAAAAUACACCCAUUUGCUAAGUUGAUAAUUUAGUCAAAUAGGUGCAUCAUGGGCCCAUUGAACUUAGUCCUUCUACUACAGCUAAUGAUAUUGGUUUUUAGUAGAGGUGCAGAGAAUCAAGCCGAACCAAACAAAAAUGCUCGGCAGGUGGAGAUGGGAUCGAUGUUACCAUUUUUUUCUAAAGACAAUUGAUUGGAGUCUUGCAGAGGGAGACAUAACCAUUUUACUAUGUGUCUCAAGCUUGGCUGUAUCCUACAAUCUUUUAUUUUAGUCAAUUCUUCCAAAUUUCCAAAUCUGAGUGCUGCGAGAUGUGGUUUGAGUUUGAAAACUAGAGGGUCUUUGACCGAUUCAGACCUAGUUUGUCGCAGUGGUACUCAGCCGAUGGCGCAAAAAGGUCAAGAUAUUUCUUUCUUUCUUGUCCUCUUUGCCUCGAGAUUCAGGCUUUCCUUCCUACCAGGGUACGAACCGAGGAAAAGGAGAAUUUGCUGAAGCGUGACUGGGCCUAAAAUAUGUCAAAUGUGGAAGAAAAUGUAAAUAGGAGGUGAUUGAAAGGUAGACAAAUUUUAAGCACAUUUGUUUAAAUCUUUUUUCGUCUACUCUUACUUUUAUUUUUAUUUUUCUUUUAUAAAAAAAAUCAUCAAAGGGAAAAAGAAACCAAAGCAUUGUAAAGGGUAAGGCAGAAAUAAAUUAUGAAAAUAAAUAUGUAAAUUACGAAAAGAUGAUACAAAUUCAAGAAUUUUUAUUAAAUUAAUAUUGAAUUAUCAAUUUUCUUAAAAAUUAAAGUUUUUGAAAAUUUAAAAAAAAUUAAUAAUAAAACAAUUAAAAGUGAAUAAAAAGAAAGAAAAGAAAAAUGAGUAGUUAAACAAUUAAAAAUGAAUAAAGAGAGAGGAUGGUUAGUGUAGAGACAUCAUGUAAUAAAAUCAUAAGAAUGGUGUCCUGCCUACAUAGAUCACAUGCCACAACCAUGCAAGGAUUGAUCACCAUUAUCAUAAUAUGACUUUGUAUAACACAUGAUCCACCCAUCAAUUAUAUAAUGAUCAAAUAAGAUAUCAAAAACAACUCUUCCUUCCAUUUCGUUUUGUAAUUAACCUGAUCGUCGGAGAUGGAUCGACCUAAUAAAUCCAUUCAUUUUUCAUCUUUCCUGUUGAUCCUCAUAAGGAAGACAAGUGGGUUUUAAAGUUUUGCUAAAAGUUAAAUCCCACCAUUCCAAGGUGUAAGCUGGUCAGUCAAAUUUGGCAUCCAAAGCUCAUAUUUACGUUGUAUUCAACUUCACGUAAAGAAAUAUUUCUUACUAAGGAUUGUUCUAGCAUUAAUAAACGUGUUCUUAAAUGAUAAGGGCGAGUGAGUUUAGAGUUUAGAGUUUAGAGUAGGUAAUGGGUAGUGUCGUGCUGUCAUGCAUUAUUAAUCAUCAACUUGAUUGGAUGGUGGUCAAAUUUAUCUGAUUUAACUUUCUUAAAUUGUGAGUGUUGCUUUCUUUAUGUAUUUUUCUGGUAGGCUGGUGUGCUUCUAGUUCUACCCAAUUCAUGUGGUCCUAACUUUUUCCCUCAAAAUUGGCUUUAAUAUCGCGGUGUCAAGUUGUCAACAAAAGGCAACCGAUAACGCGGAAUAUAGUACACAAAAUAAUAGAGACACUUUGGCACUAAACCCUAUACAAGAAAGGACGAACGUAAUUAAUUAGCCUAUUUUAAUUUUUUUUUAAUGUUUGGAUAUAAUGAAUUUUUAUAUUAAUGUAAAAGCUUUCUGAAACUUAUGCUAAAUAAGAUAGUAGUUUUUUUUAAAACGGUUUAUAAAAUUGAGAUGUUAAAAAAUAAUUAUUACUUUAAAUUUAUUUUUAUUUUAAAAAUAUAAAAUGUGAAGUCUAUCUUAAUUAAUGGAAGAUGAUGCUGGAAACUAAUAAACACAAAGUAAGUUUAAUCUGCAAGGAAGAGUACAUUUAGCCCUUUGGUUGUACAGGACUUAUAUAAAUUAAUUAAGUUCCAUUGUUGAAGGAGGAUGGCUCCAAGUGUAGGAAGAGUGUAAAUACUUUAUUUAUUUAUUUAUUUAUUUUUUUGGGGAAGAGUCCUAUUGGGAAUUAUUUUUAUUUUAUUUUACCUUAUUUUAUUCCAUUAGUCUUAUAUUUUUGGAAAGAGUCUUAUUGAGAUUGUGCUAGUGGAGUCUCGUUCCUUUUAUAAGUAGAAUCAUCUUCUAUUUUGAGUUUUAUUCUAAUUACAAGUAGAUUCCCGUUGGGAUUGUGUUAGUGACCUAUAAAAGCAGGUCACACCCAUCACUCUCUAUAUAUGAAUACCAAUUUUUUAGGGAAUUUAAAAAAAAAAAAGUUUUUCAGAGAGUAUUUUCAUACAUCUAUCUGAAGGAAUUUUUUCAAAACCCGAGUUGUACACAUCUCGCUUACAGAGUGCACCUAAGGCGAGAUAUGACUUUUGAAUCUUAGAGGUAGACCACUGGUACCCUAAUGCACUGAGUUAUUCUUCAAGGAUGGUGGAUCUAUUUCAAUGACAAAGUUUGUCACGCCUCAACCAAUAAGUUUUUCUUCUUAUUCAUUUUGUUAUUUGUUUGUGUCUUUUGGACUAGUCUUUUGUUUCCAUACCCUUAAAUCCAAUAAUCUUGAAAUAAAUCCAAAUGGAAGCUUCCCUAGUUCACACCCGUCCUAACACCUCUAAAAUUGAUCCAUUCAACAAGACAUUCUUUAAGAGAUGACAAGAAAGGGUUUUCUCUGCAAUUGAUGUAGUGAACUUGGAACACAUUUUGACAAUUUCAAAACUAGAAGAUAGUUCUCAUCUGUUACCAACCUGGGAAAUAAGAAAUAAAUAAGUUAGGCAUGCUAUUCUGAGUACCCUUUCUAAUGAACUUUUUUAUAUUUAUUGUUAAUUUAAAGUUGCAAAAGAAAUUUGGGAUGCAAUGAAUAAAAAAUAUAUUUUGGAAGAUGCAGAAACUCAGAAAUGUGCCAUAGGGAAUUUUAGAAAUUUCCAAAUGACCGAGGAUAGAGAUGUAUCAUCUCAAAUCCAUGACUACCACUUGUUGAUUAAUGACUUAGCUAUUGAAGGCAUUAAAUUACCCAAAUCUUUUGUGGUUGGUUAUUGAGUAGAGACUCUUCUAGAGUCUUGGAAAUACUAUAAAAAUAACAUGAAACAUAAAAGGAAACAAAUGUCCUUAGAGGAUGUAAUAAUCCAUAUUAGGAUUGAGAAACAAAACCGAAAUAGGGACAAUAUUGAGAAAGCUAAGGAAAUGUCUUCUAAAGCUAAUGUAGUAGAAGAAAAAUCUAAACCUAAAAACAACAGGUCCAGGAAACAAAACUCUAGGACCAAGCCCAUUGCAUCAAACAAGGUCCAGAACUCAACUAUUAAAAAACGAGGUAAUUGCUUUGUCUGUGGCAAGUCUAGACACUAUGCAAUUCAAUGUCACCAUAGGAAGAGAACUGAGAAGUUCAAUUCAAAGGCAAUCUAGCAGUGGCAAAGGUGAUCACAACAGUAAUCUCUUCUGAGGUGAGCAUGGUCACCAAUAUGAAGGACUGGGUGGUAGACUCUAGGGCUACUAAGCACAUCUGUGGGAAUAGAAGUGCAUUUACUUCCUAUACCACUGUAAAUGAAGGAGAGAAACAAGUGUUCAUGGGUGAUUCUAGAUCUACUCUAGUGAUUGGCAAAGGAAAAGUUCUCCUCAAGCUAACCUUUGGAAAAGUGCUUGCCCUCAGUGAUGUUCUUCAUGUGCCAAAUAUCCGUUGGAACUUGAUGUCAGUAUCUCUGCUUGGAAAAGCAGGAGUGAGGAUCUUGUUUGACUCUGAUAAAAUAGUUUUAACCAAGAAUGAUGAAUUUGUGGGAAAGGGCUAUUGUAUUUAGGGUUUAUUUAUGUUGAAUGUUUAUGAUAUUAUCAAUAAUAAUGCAUCUUCUUCUUCUGCUUACAUAGUUGAUUCUUGUGAUAUUUGGCAUGGUAGACUAGGACAUGUGAACUUUUCAUAUAUGAAGAAAAUGGUUGAAUUGAGUUUAAUCCCUAAACUGUCCUUAGAAAACCAUAGAAAAUGUGAAUCUUGUGUAGAAUCUAAAACCACAAAAAAAUCUUGCAAAUCAGUUGAAAGAUAAUCAGAUCUACUAAGUUUAAUACACAGUGACUUAGGAGACCUAAAAAAUACAAUGACUAGAGGUGGUAAACGAUUCUACAUAACUUUCAUAGAUGACUACUCAAGGUAUACAAGGGUAUAUCUUUCGAGAAAUUAAAAAUGAACCAAGAGAUGUUUUCAUCAAGUACAAAAAUGAAGUGGAAAAUCAACUAAAUAAGAAAAUUAAAAGGCUUAGAACUAAUAGGGGAAGAGAGGAUGAGUCCAACCCCUUCAAUUAUUUUUGUGAAGAUCAUGGGAUCAUUCACAAAACUACUCCUCCUUAUUCCCCUGAGUCUAAUGGAGUAGCAGAAAGGAAAAAUAAGACCUUAAAAGAAAUGAUGAAUGCAAUGUUGGUAAGUUCAGGAGCACUCUUGAACUUGUGGGGGGAAGCUAUCCUAUUCGCAUGUCAUAUUCAAAAUAGAAUGCCUUACAAGAAAACUAGUAAAACUCCUUAUCAGAUGUGGAAGGGUUAUGCACCUAAUAUAGCAUACCUGAAAGUAUGGGGGUGUUUAGCUAAAGUUCUUCUCCCUGAACCUAAAAAAGUUCAUUGGCUAUGCUGAGAAUAGUGUGGCAUGUAGGUUUCUUGUUACUAAGUCAUAAAACAGUCUUGUAGAUGUCAAUACUAUAAUAGAAACAAAGAAUGUAGAUUUUUUUGAAAACAUCUUUCCUAUGAUACUAAAUAGUGAACAACAAGUUCAGAAAACAAGUAGAGACGAGUCUAUUGAACCUUCUGAAUUUAAACCUAGAAGGAGUAAAAGAGAUAGGAAAGAAACAAACCUUGGAGAUGGUUUCUACACCUUCCUAAUAGAUGAUGACCCUAGAUUCUACAAAAAAAAGCUAUAACUUCUCCUGAUGCACCAUUUUGGAAGGAGGUCAUUAAUAGUGAAAUCGAAUUAAUCAUGUACAACCAUACAUGGGAGUUAGUAGAUUUACCUCAUGGUGCAAAGAGCAUUGGUUGUAAGUGGAUCUUUAAAAGAAAGUUGAAACAAAAUGGGUCUAUAGAGAAGUAUAAAGCUCGUUUAGUUGCCAAAGACUUUAAAUAAAGAAAAGAUGUAGAUUACUUUGACACAUUUGCCCUUGUGACUAGAAUAGCAUCAAUUAAAGUAUUGAUUGCUCUAGCUUCCAUUCAUAAUUUAGUGAUACACCAAAUAGAUGUCAAGACUACAUUCUUGAAUGGGGAUUUGGAAGAAGAAAUUUAUAUGGAACAACCUAAGGGUUGUGUAGUUCCAAGAAAGGAGAAAAAGGUGUGUAAGUUGGUUAAAUCACUAUAUGGGUUAAAACAAGCUCCCAAACAGUGUCACAACAAGUUUGAUCAUGUGUUAGUAACUAAUGGAUAUUCCAUUAAUGAUGUUGAUAAGUGUAUCUAUAGCAAGUAUGAGGAUAACACAUGUGUAGUCAUAUGUCUUUAUGUUGAUGACAUGUUGAUCUUUGGAACUAGCCUAGAGGUUGUGUGUGGGACCAAGAAAUUCUUAGGUUCUAAGUUUGAUAUUAAAAACCUAGGAGAGGCAGAGGUGAUUUUAAGAAUGAAAAUAACUAAAACACCUAAUGAGUUUAAACUUUCUCAAGAGCACUAUGUUGAAAAGAUCCUAAGGAAGUUUGAACACUUUGAUUGUAAACCAGUGUCAACUCCUUAUGAUCCCAGCUCACAGCUAAAGAAAAAUAGAGAACAUAGUGUUGCCCAAAUAGAGUAUGCUCGGAUCAUAAAGAGCCUAAUGUACUUAAUGAACUGUAUCAAACCUGACAUUGCUUAUGCAGUAGGUAGAUUGAGUCGGUACACCCAAAGUCCUAAUUAGGACCAUUAGAUUGUUGUUCGUAUAGUCCUUAAGUAUUUGAAAGGCACCAUUAACUAUGGUUUGUGCUUUAGUGGACUUCCAAGUGUCCUUGAAGGAUUUAGUGAUGCAAAUUGGAUCUCGAAUUUAGAUGAGAUGAAAUCCACUAGUUGAUAUGUUUUCAUCCUUGGUGGAAGUAUAGUUUCUUGGAAGUCUGCCAAGCAAACUUGCAUUACUCGAUCUACUAUGGAGGCUGAGUUUAUUACCUUAGAGAAAGCAAGUUUUGAGGUUGAAUGGCUUAGAAACCUCUUAGCAGAUAUCCCUUUAUGGAUGAAACCAACCCUGUUUGUGUCUAUGCGUUGUGAUAGCCAAGUUGCAAUUGCUAAUGUUAAGAGUAAAAUAUUUAAUGGGAAGAACAAACAUAUACGUUGAAGGCAUAAUAUUGUACGGCAGUUGCUUGAAACAAGGGUUAUAUCCUAGAAUUUGUGAGGUCGGAGUUGAAUUUGGCCAAUCCUUUGACCAAACCACGAAAUAAGAAACUAGUGGAAGAAACAUCGAGGGGGAUAGGGCUUAUCCCUAUUAUAGAAGUCAAGAGUGGUGGUAACCCAACCUAUUACAAUGGAAAUUUCAUAAAGUAGGUUCAUAUGGGUAAUAACAAAUCACUUGUUGACUUGAGGUGCUUUAUCAACUCUAAUUGUAUGAGAGUUCAUCCUUAUGGUGUAAAUAGAGCGUAUACUGCAUUGAUUAAGGUUGAGUAUUUACUCUUAAUGAAUACCAUAUUCCUUAUGGGUGGUAUGUUUAAAUGCAAAACAUACUUGAUGGAUUCACCUAUAUGAGAGUGGAGGUGGGGCCGCUUCCUAUGAGAACUUAGGCAGGUUCUCUAAAGCUCUCAUGAAUAUCUAGGUAAGGCGCAUGACCUAUUUGUGCCAACCGGUUUUGUACAGCUCGUAGUUUAGUUAAGAAAACCAUGUGAAUAAAAUUCCCUUGAGUUACAUCAAGAAACACCGGUUCAUAGAAAUUUAUUUUCACCGUGUUUUGUGAUUCAAUACUUAUUUGUCCUCAGACUGGUUCAUAGCCUUUGGGCACCAUUAUUGAUGCAUUGGAUUUUUUUUUUCCUCAAAAAAAAAUUGCGUUUACACUUUGUGGGGUAUUUUAUUCUAUGAGUCUUAUAUUUUUUGGAAGAGUCCUAUUGGGAUUGUGAUAAUGGAGUCUCAUUCCUUUUAUAAGUAGAAUCCCCUUCCACUUUGAGUCUUGUUCUGAUUACAAGUCGAUUCUUAUUGGGAUUGUGUUAGUGGCCUAUAAAAGUAGGUCACCCCUUACUUUCUAUAUAUGAAUACCAAUUUUUCAGAGAAUUUUUAAAAAGAGUUUUUCAAAGAGUAUUUUUAUACAUCUAUCUAAAGGAAUUUUUUCAAAACCCGAGUUGUACACAUCUCAUUUACAGAGUGCACCCAAUGCGAGAUCUGACUGUUGAAUCCUAGAAGUAGACCACUGGUACUUUAGUAUACCGAGUUAUUUUUCAAGGAGGGUGGAUCUAUUUCAAGGACAAUGUUUGUUACGCCUCAGGCGAUAAAUUUUUCUUCUUAUUCAUUUUGUUCUUUGUUUGUCUUCUUCUUAUUCAUUUUGUUCUUUGUUUGUCUUUUGGGUUAGUCUUUUGUUUCCAUACCCUUAAAUCCAACACCAAGACCAUACAUAAAUGAAGGGGAAGAGGAAGAGAAAGCAAAACUUUCAUCUGAGAUCUGCAUGUGUCGGGCGGUGGAGGGUGCAUGGUACAUGGUUUGAGCUACAUGCCAUUGCAUGUGGUCCUUGAAGAAAUCAUGUUAACACAACCACAUAAAAUAAUUCAAUUCUAGAAAUGCAUCUGUAACCAGGGAAAUCUAUACUGGCAUCUGUGCAUAAACUUAUGCGAGAAAUAUGGUACCAAGUCUCUGCAGAUUUAUACGUGGCCGACAUCGUGGAUGUCCUGUGAACUAGAUGCGGAUUACUAGUCUAUUCAAGGGAUGGACCUCCCCUACAAAAAAUCUAUGUGAGGUUUGUCGUCUCAUGCAGUUUUAAACGUAGGAAAAUGAAGUUAGUAAGAGAGUCACAUGUGGUUUUUUGGUCCUUUAGCUCAAUCACGGGCUCAACAGUCGCUACAAGUUAAAACAUCCUCAUUCAGAAACCGCGUCUCCCUGAUUCUCGUCCGGAAAAGUUGAAAUUCGAAGCAAAAGUACUUAUCUGCAGCCCAACUUGAAGCUAGAGGCAUUGAAGUUCGAUGCUACAUAUUCAGAGUGAUUUGUGGUGCUCCUUAAGUCAAUUGGGUCAUGACAAAUGAUCCAAUCGACUACGGAGAAAAUAGGGCGAUUUGUGGGGUCAUGUCUCUUCCCCACACAGUUGGAUACACUAUAAAGAAGGCUAGUGACUAACAUGGAUUUUCAUCCACAGGCACUUGCUGGGUUUUGCGUUAUGGGGAAGCAUGGUCUGGCUACCUGGUUGGUCAUCCUUCUCAACUUCGCUACACUUCUCACUUCUCUUGCUUGUUCCUACUGCCCAUCCCCAACUCCUCCUAAACCACCCAAGGUAAAGCACCCCCUUCCGCCUCUUCCACCUAAACAUCCUCCACAUGUCAAGCCACCGCAUACACCUAUGCCACCCAAGCCUCCUGCUGUAAAACCACCAUAUGUACCUAAUCCUCCAGUUGUGGAGCCGCCUUAUGUGCCCAAGCCUCCUGUUCUAAAUCCGCCUCAUGUGCCCAAACCUCCUAUUGUAAGGCCUCCUGUUGUAAAACCACCUUAUGUGCCCAAGCCACCAGUGGUUCAGCCCCCACCGCCACCAGUGGUUCAUCCCCCACCGCCACCAACACCGUGCCCACCACCACCACCCCCCAAGGGGAGGCCCCCACCACAAAAGAAGCCUCCUGUUCUAAAUCCGCCUCAUGUGCCCAAACCUCCUAUUGUAAGGCCUCCUGUUGUAAAACCACCUUAUGUGCCCAAGCCACCAGUGGUUCAGCCCCCACCGCCACCAGUGGUUCAUCCCCCACCGCCACCAACACCGUGCCCACCACCACCACCACCACCCAAGGGGAGGCCCCCACCACAACAGACAUGCCCCAUUGACACUCUGAAGCUAGGUGCAUGUGUGGAUUUGUUGGGAGGGCUUGUGCACAUUGGGAUAGGAAGUAGUGCUAAGGACACAUGCUGUCCAGUGCUGCAAGGGCUUGUGGACUUGGACGCUGCCGUCUGUCUUUGCACCGCCAUCAAAGUCAAGCUUCUUAACGUCAAUAUCAUCAUACCCAUUGCUCUUCAAGUCCUUGUUGGCUGUGGCAAGACUCCACCUUCAGGAUUCCAAUGCCCUGCCUAAGGUAAUCCAUCCUUCAAUUUUGUCAUUAAUUUCACAUAAUUCGCCCAUGUCUUCCCAUAUACGAAGAAGUUGACUAGUACUUUUCCUCGUUAAUGAUUGCAG
rnacentral:lncRNA from 1 species